rnacentral:lncRNA from 1 species
UAAGGGCAAGUUUGGUUCACCUAUUUUAAACUAUAAAAUCGGAAUCGAAUUUCUUGAUUCCAAUAGUUGUCGUUUGUUUUAUAGGAAUCGGAUUUCAAUUCUCAUUCCACUCCGGAAUGGGAAUGGCUAAAUCCAUUUAUGGCUCAAUUCGGGUUUAAAUCCCGGAUUGACCCAUUCCAAAGUAAACUAUUCAAAAUUCUCUUUCACCAGCACCUAACUCCUCUUCCUUCAUCACUUUAAUCAAAACCCUUUCUCAAAAAUUCUAAAUUUUCAUUCCGAUUUUCAUUCUAAUAAUGAACAAAAUAUUUUCGGAUGAUUCGUCAUUCCAUUUCUCAUUCCAAAACAAUCCGAUUUCACUUUCCAUUUCUAUUCCAAUCAUGAACCAAACAUGCCCUAAAUGUUCUUACAGUAACAUUUCACUCAUCAGCAGCUAUGUCCGUAAUUCUAUACCAGGUUAUCCCAAAAUUCUGCAAUUGUGCCCAAAUCGAUCACUUCAAUUCUACAAUUUCAACUUAUUCCACUCAUCGAGCAAUCAAUAUUUGCAGCAACAAUCACCUGCAGGAUGACGGAGGUGACGACAUCGGCGUACUUGAUGGCGAGGUUGAGCGACAUGCACCUGGCGGGCGCGACGGCGUAUCCGUGGAUGUGGCUCCGGGGGAUGCCGCCGAACUGGUCGCGGUUGUUGACGACGAUCACGGUCAUGAGCGCGGCGAUCCCCGAUCCGAGCGAGUGGCCGGCGAACACCAGCUUGUAAUCGGGGCCGAGCUCCUGGAGGAGGCGGCGCAGGGUGUCGGCCUCUUGGUCGAGGAUCCAGGUGGCGGCCCUGAGGAGGCCGCGGUGGACGAAGCCCCCGUCGAGCACCUGCAUGCCGAGCCCGUCGUCGAGGAGGACCAUGUAGUCGCUGUUGCGCGUGAGGCUGAGGCCGCGGAUGGCGAGGACGAGCUCCUUGUGGGGGCGAUCGGCGUAGAUGAGGUAGGGGGGGCAUCGGCGGUGGGUGUCGGCGUAGGGGACGCGCUUGACGAUGGAGGAGGGGUCGAGGGAGGGGGCGAAGCUGGGGUCGGCGAGGUCGUCGGCGUAGACGCCGAGGAUGGCGCGGCACGCGCGGGGGAUCGGGGCGAACUCCGCGGCCGAGGAGAGGGGCCACGACUCGCUGUCGUAGGUGCCGACGUAGUUGAGGCGCUUCCACGCCCAGCGCGAGCACCCCACGCACACCACGCACUCCAACCCACCCGCCACCGACAUCGUCGUCGACGACCACGACGGCGAUGGUGGAGACGAAGAUGGAGAAGGGGAAACGGAGAGGAUCAAAAGAGCGCAACAACGGAAGAGGAAGGUGAAUAGAGAACGUUCCUUUUGGGUUGGUGUUUACUUUGAAUUCGACAAAGGAGUUUAAGUAAGUACAAGGAGUAGUAACUAGUACUAGUAACAGAGGGAAAGUGAAUUUAGGAUAAGGGGGUUAUCCAAAUCAUUGGCUGGAANUAGAAUUUAAAUUUUUAAAAUUUAAAAUUUCAAAAUUAAAAUUUAUAAUUUAAAAUUAUAAAUUUUAAAGUUUAAAUUUUAAAUUUGAUAUUUUUAAAGUUUAUAUUUUAAAUUUGAUAUUUUUAAUUUUUAAAUUUAAUAUUUUAUAUUUUUUAAAUUUAAAUUUGGUCUUAAAUUUAAAAUUUGAUAUUUAAAAUUAUAAUUUUAAAUGUUAAUUUCAAAUUUUAAGUUUUAAAAUUUAAAUUCAAAAAUUAAAAAUUUAAAUUCAAAUAUAAUGAGAGGGAUAAUAUCAUUAUUUUCUAUUUAUAACCAUAAACUAUUUCUCGUAUUCAUAAUAACCAUCAAAACAUAAUUUUUCUAGUUCCAACUUAUACUCACAUUUUCAUCCAAACAAAAAAAUACUCUUAUUCUUACAAAAAUUUAUACUUGUACCUAUUCUUGGAAUUUAUACUCGGACAGAAUUAUUGCAAGCACUAGGUGCAGCAAUACAUUUCAUGGACCGGAUUCCAUUUUUUUUAUAGCUAACAAUUUAAAUUAAAUCGUGACAUAUUUAUUUACAAUUUUAAAAAUUAUAUACUCUCUAGAUAUCAAGUAAGACUUAAAAAAAUAGUAGAAAGAACAAUAUAUUGCUAGAUUUAUAAGAUUUAUUUUGUAGGUGAGAUCGCCGCCGCAGGCGCGGAGGUUUAUUCCCGGUCCCAUGUUUAUGUUCAUGGAUUUGGACUUGGCACAACUGGGAAAUAAAAGUCCUUCUAAGACUUAGAAUCAAACCGAGGGAAACUUGGAAAGUUGACAGCAGCCACACUUGACACCAUUUAAACACACUCCGUUUGAACAAUCUGAUACAAUUUUUCGGAAUUUUCCGAAGCAGCCCAACGCCGAUGCAUCACAGUUAGACCUUUCAAAAUUAAUAGCUCGGCCCAGCAUUUCAUUGCUACACUACUGGGCCUAUGCGACUGGGCCGGACCAAUUAUGGAAUGGGCCUUGUAUACUCGUUUACUAGAGAAGAGACCCCCCGAGACCGACCGUCUCUAGCGCAAGUAACAAAGAGUUUGAUGGUUGGUAUCUGAGAUUUCAAGUUCGAAUUCUAAUUGAUUUACAUUUCUAUUUAAGUUUAUUUCUAAAUAAAAUAAAUAAAACGGAUAGUAUGCUACCAAUCUCUCUUAAAAAAAAGAAAAGAUCCCAUCAGUACUUUGUGUUUUGAAAUUAUGGUGUGGCCUUAGAAACUAUUUUUGGUAAGAAGUAGGUUAACAAACUCCAAAAAGCUUCUUCUUUCUAUCUAAUUAUGAAGAAGCUUUUAGACCGAAGAGCGAAUAAGCUUUCACGAAUUUUUUUUUAAAAAAAAUUUGUAAAUAUGAAGAAGGACACAUAAAACAGGAUUCCAAUAAGUUGAGCAUGACCAUGGUAAACAGGGGAUGUCAUCAAUGAAUAUAUUUACAUAGGCAGAAAGAAAACAUAAUUACAAAGGGAUACUCUCACAACACCAGUAGUCACAAAAACUUAAAUAUAUAUAUAAUUACAUAUAACCAUCUAAUCGAUGUAUAAUUACUACAACCAUACAGUAUCUGUACACGAGAGAACGUAGGAUCUAAAGAUAGAGCAAGAAUACCAAAUUCACAAACAAGAAAACUAAUUCCUGCUGAUCAUCAGUCCCCGACGGAGAUCGCGCGGCCGACACGACCCAACGGCGACUGCGAGAGCUGCUGCCGCGCGAGGUCCCUGAAGACGGGCCGCCGCCUCGUCUCGAACGCCGGAGGCAGCUGCAGCUGAUCCUUGAUCUUCUCAUCCUCUUGCUUGAUCUUUCUCACUCGGCUAUGAACAACUGGUUGCCGCAAUUGUUUUUCUCCCUUCUUAACCUCCUCUUCAAUUUUCAUACCUUUCUCCUCUAUUUUCUCCAUUGAUAAAACUAUAUAAGUAAGAGGAAACUAAUUAAACUUAGUUACUUGUCACAUAUACACCGUUCUAUUUAUAGAGAAAGAGGGGUAUGUGAGGGAUAAUUGAAUGUAUAGGAAAAAGAUGGUGGGUGGGAUAUAUCUUAUAGUUUGAGGAGCCCCAACCAUUUGGAUUAUUCAAUUUCAUACAAAAUUAGACUUUAACAUGCUGAUCAAAUUGGUAAACCACAUGGCUUAGAAAAGCUAAAGCUACUACAAGAAUUGAUAAUAAAUUAAUUUUAAUAUAACAUGAAAACUGGAAUAUGAGUUUAGGUAAUGUUGAUAAAAUGAUUCUUUCAAAUAUGACAUAUAUAUAUAAGUUGUUCACGCAGGAAACAGGUGACCCAAAUUGUGAAAUGUUCAAACCCGUAAAUUAAUUAGACCCUUCAAUGGGACAAUAUUUAUGUAAUCGUGGGCCAAGUAAACCUUCUUAGGUGGGUGAUGUGGUAUCUUCUACACGCACGAAGCGAAAAAGCCAAAUAAACACAAAUUAAAAAACUUAAUUUUUGUAAUUUCUUUGGUUGGACUCAAUUUGUCAAACUUCUAAUUUGCUUUAAUUCUAUUCAAUGGUCCUUGUUUCAAAAAGCGUGAAUUCGAGUCCCUUCCAAACUGACUAGCUCGAAUAGUUUAAUAACAAUUCCUAGUCGCAACUUGAACUAACUCAAUUUUACUUUGAGCUAAGAUCGAUUCGAUGUAGAUCAAGAAAUAAUUCGUUGGUCAAAACAUCAUUUCCCUCAUUGUUGUGAGCUGCAAUUUGUGCGACAAUCUUUUGAAAAAGUUGAAAUAAAAUUUUAACUUUUCAUUUUAUCGAACAAUACUAUACUAUACCAGAUUAUUUCAACACAUUAAUUCUCUUUCUUUUAUACACUUACAAAUUAGUUGUUAGUUGAUAAUUCUGGCUUUAAGGUUAGCCUCCAACCUUCACCUAAUUGUAGAUAAUGUUCGAUCCAAGUCAACCCAAAAUAGUGACUAAUCUUUUUGGUACAUCCACCUCCUCCAAAAAAAUUUGUUUCCAUACAUGUACGAAUGGAUAACGAACACAUGGUUUCCUCAAUUGGAGCCACAUUGCUAUUAAAUAAUCUGAGGGGCAAUAAAAGUUGGUGUAAUAUAAAACAAAUAACUUUUAGAACCGAACAUAAAUUUGCUUACGUUUGCUGCGUUUCAUUUCGUUAAAUGUAUUAUGAAACAAAUUUAGGCCUAGUUUAGUAAUAUUGCGCAGCUAAAGUUAAAUAUCUUUAUUUUUAUCGACAUGCUUUUUGGGUUAUGGUAACCAUUCCUCUUUUUUUUUUUUUGAGAAAUAGAUAGCAAGCUAUCUGCUUCAUUCAUUAAGCAAAAUGAACUAAGCGUACAAAAUGAAAGCAGCUAAGGCAUCCUUGAAAAGCCAGAGGAAAUUAGAAAUGACCAAAAUAAAGUACAGUGUACGAAAAAAUAUAGAAGUAACUAACUAAAAGAAGUAGCUAAAGAAAUCAAACACGAAUGUUAAAGACAAACUUGGUCAAAGAACCUCGGUCCAAACUUUGGUCAAGCUCGUGACACGUUCGAGAACCUCCAUUCCAAUUUUAUAGCGUUGAAGGAGACUCAGAAGAAGCUCUUUUAAAUUUUUUAAAUCUUCUAAAAUAUAAAAAUAAGAUAUAUUUAGCCAGCAAAUUACGAAAUUAGAACUCAUAAGUUUGUGGGCCAUAGUGGAUUGUGAAAACUCUGGAGGAUCAAUUUGGCCCAAUUUGCUAAGGGCUCAUUGGUAUGGGCUUUAAAGGGAAUUGCGUUAACCUCCAAAGUGUUCUGUUGAUUAAUGGGCCCCAGGGCCCAGGGGAUCUUUCGAAACUUGAUCUCCUGUGAUCGCAACAAUGUAUUAAGUUAUGGUGUAGGUCAAACACAGUUAAAAUACAACAAGAUUCUUCUGCUUCACCCUUGUGAUUGUUCUCGCACCAGCAAAUCUUAUUUUAAAUUUAUUAUUAUUUUAUAAUAUUGAAGGAGAGAAUUUUUAAAUUUUUUUUAAAAUUAAGCAUGAAAGUAAAUAUUUUUGAACUUCACAAUUUUAAACUAGGCCUUAAUCGAAACCAAGCCUGUUAGGAGGUGUUUAGCUUAUCUUCCAAAAAGUGAUUUUAAGUUCAACAGUAAUUUUGGGCUCAGUAGAGUAUUUGACAAUAAGUAUUGAAAAAUCUUAUUCUGUUUUUAAGAAUUAUAAAAUUGAUUUUUAAGGCCAAGAAUCAAAAAUAGAAAAAUAACUAAUUCUUCAAAACUGAUUCUUGCAAAAUCAGUUUUUUCACUUAAAAUUUUUAUAAGAAUACUCCAACUAUCUCUCAGCCAAACGUUUUAUAGCUUUUAACAAAAAUUACUUUUCUAAGCUAAAAUUAAUUAUACAGAAAUCACUUUUUCAAGUAAUAAGCGAUUUCUUUUAUUUUAUUUUUAUUUUAUAAUUUUAUGGUAUAAAAGAAAGAAAAAACUUAUUGAUUUUGUUCGAAAUGAUUUAAAAAAAUGAUUUUCAUAGAAUUGGUUGGAGUAAAAAAAAAAAAAUCUAAUUUUCUGGCAUACCCGAAAAUUAUAAAAAGAAAAAAAAAACAUAUUUUAUCAAGAGCACUGCAUAGUCCAAACAGAAAAUUGCUAUUCGUACAAACUAACUUAAAAUAUUCUCCCACUUUUUUGAACUUUUUACGCCCAUUCCAACCCUCCAUACCAAAUCUCUCUCACCCUCUCAUACACGCACAGACACACUACAUAUAAGCUAAAAAGUGUACAUCUCCCUUCCACUGUUCCACACCUCCGCUAGUCCCCUCCCUCGUUCGUAUGUGCAACAUCAAAACAAUUAAUCUCAUCCACGAUCGAACAUCGAUCACACCAUGUCCGGCUCCUCUCUCACCUUCCUCCUCUCCUUCUUCACCUUACUCUCCGUCGCCAUCGCCGCCGCCGACAACAACAACACCACCGGCUACAACACCUUCGUAUACAGCGGCUGCUCCACGCAACACUACACAUCAGGCUCAUCAUACGAGAGCUACGUGGACUCGAUCCUCGCGUCGAUCUCCGCCGCCGCUGCGGCGUCCUCCUUCGCAAACUUCACGUCCCCAGGCGCCGUGUCGGGCCUCUACCAAUGCCGCGCCGACCUCCCUGCCUCCGCCUGCGCCUCCUGCGUCCGCUCGGCCCUCUCGCAGCUCGCCUCUCUCUGCCCCUCCGCCGCCGGCGCCGCCGUGCAGCUCCGCGCCUGCUUCCUCCGCUACGGCAACCACUCCUUCCUCGGCAAACCCGACACGUCCCUCCUCUUCAAGAAGUGCGGCGCCGCGAUCGGCGCCGGAAUUGGCGGUGGCGGCGAUGUUGAUGCGGCGUUGGAGGCGGUGACGGAGGGCGGGGGGGAGUACAGGGUGGGCGGGGCGGGGAGGGUGCAGGCUGUAGCGCAGUGCGUCGGCGACCUGAUUGCGGAGGAGUGUGGGGAGUGCGUGAAGGCGGCGGUGGAGCAGCUGGAGAGUGAGUGCGGGGCGGCGGCAGAGGAGGGGGAGGCAUAUCUCGGCAAGUGCUACGUACGGUAUUGGUCCGAUGAAGAAGGAGGCGGUGGUGGCAGCAGUGGCGGUGGCGGUGGCAUUGGAGGCGGAGGCAGUGGCGGUGGCAUUGGUGGCGGUGGCAUUGGAGGUGGAGGCGGUGGCAGUGGCAUUGGAGGCGGAGGCGGUGGUGGUGGCAUUGGUGGUGGUGGCAUUGGCAUUGGUGGCGGUGGCAUUGGAGGCGGUGGCGGUGGCAUUGGUGGCAAUGGCGGCAUUGGCGGUGGCAGUGGCAUUGGGGGCGGAGGCGGUGGUGGUGGCAUUGGUGGUGGUGGCAUUGGCAUUGGUGGCGGUGGCAUUGGAGGCGGUGGCGGUGGCAUUGGUGGCAAUGGCGGCAUUGGCGGUGGCAGUGGCAUUGGGGGNGCGGCGGCGGCGGCGGCAUCGGGGGCGACGGCAUCGGCGGCGGUGGCGGCAUUGGCGGCGGCGGUCAAGACGGUAAGCGAUCAAUUGCUAAGAAUAAAAUCUUUCAUAAUUUCCGUACAUUAUAAUUUUCGUCUCUCUCUCUCUGUUUAAAAAAAUUGCAACUGCAUUACUAGUCAUCAGGUGUCAACGUGCUCUCCUAUAAAAAGAUAUUUUUAUUUAUUUUUUCUGUAAUAGAUUAUGGUUAUACUUUAUCUGAUAGAGAGGCAGAAUAGUUAUUUUAGGGGAGAAACUUUGCAUGAUUUAUGAGGGAUUGAAUAACGAAUAGGAUCUCUACGUGAAUAUUCAAAAAUAUAUGAUAUAAGUGAAACAUUUAUUGCUUAAUUAACUUUAAGUAUUGCAUGUUUUAUAUUCUCGUGAUUUUGGCCAAUUGCUCUGCUAAUAGAUAUUCAAAUGAUUACAGUGUUUUGCUAGUUUGGUUUGGUUUCAAACGUUGUGCCUACAUAUAUGUCACUCUAUGUACACAUUGGUGCAAUUAAAAUAUGAAAUCUUUUGAAUAAAUCCUGUUGACUAGUACGUACAUUAUUUUGUUAAACCUUACCUAAGCCUUUACAACGUUAAUUCAAUUACAGAGAAUACUAUAUUUCAUUAAUUAAUUACAGGGCUUGAUAUAUAUCAAAACAGAGAACUUAGAAACAAAUAGAGAGAGAGAGGGAGCUUAAUAAUAACAGUUCUUGCAAUAAUUGUAAAUUAGUGUAGAGAUAAGAUAUUCCUAAGUUUCCUAAAGAAGAGAAAUAAGGGAACUCAAGAAUUAAUGGCUCCUUUAGCAAGAUUAGGUGAUGGGUGGAUUGGAGAAUAAAGCUCCUUUAUUAGAUCUUGGCUUGUUCAACCACUAGAAUAAGCUUGGAGGUCCCUAGCUAGCUAAACAAUUUAGAAGCAUUUGUAUGUAGUUUUGCUCCAGGGUGGCCACAUGCUAGCUAAAUUGUGUACAUAUUCAUCACAAGAUGAAGUGGAGAUAUGAAUCCUUCAAUAGAGUUUUUUUUUGUACAACGCUGUAGGUCUCUUAUAAUAUUAUUAUUAUAUAUUAUUAAUGGGUUGACAAUGUAAUGCAGUAGAAUAUUUUUCUUAACUUGGAUGAUUAGAGGACAAAAUUUGGUGGCAAACUGGCGUGUGUAGCCAACCAUCUGCCAAAAUACAGCAGAAAAAUAAAACAAAAACCCUGCACUCUUCCUCAUAGGGCCCAGAUGAGAUAAGUUAUAGAAUCCAAAUUGAAGGAUAUUCCAAUAAUUUGUGCAAUAAGUUAGACCAGGUAGGUAGGAAAUGUGCGAGUGCUUCUUCCAGGAAUGAAAGCGAUUAAUUUAGAAUUUCUUAACUUUCACAAAUUGGUAGAAGAUGGAACCUGCAAUGGUGUAGAACAUAUUUAUCUAGCUUCUGAAAUUACCUUUACACUAAGCCAUUACGGUAGUACAAAAACAAACUUAAUUACUUCUAUUCGGCAUUAAAAACGUUAUUACUGUAGUUGAUUUUACUAUUUUGGUUAUUAUUUGCGAACUGAAUGUGAUUAACCUCAAUGAAUUAGCAUGGAUAUUCUGGUAGGUAAUACCGUUGCCCUUCUUCAAUUAAGAGAGAGCAUAAUAUCGUUGAAUUUGACUAAUGCGCCAUUCUUUGAUUGUUUAUCAAUUAUCAGGAGAUCAGAGCGAGAAAAUUGCGGCGAUCAUCGUCGGGAUUAUUGUCGGCAUCGCCCUCUUAAUCGGUUUCUUUUCCUUCAUGAGGAGAGCCGGGCGAGGUGCGUGCAUUUUUCAUCUUUACUUAGCAACCUUCUAAUCCUUCAGUUCAAUUCUGAAUUUGCUUGAUCUGGUCCUAAGCAUAUACCCUCUUGUUUCUUCUUUGCAGGCAAAUAAUUAUAUUACGCUGCAAUGCAAUGUGCCUUCUCUUUUCUGCAAUUUGCCUUGAAUUUAUUUCCCUUGUGCUUAAAAUUAAUCAUGGUAUAAUUGAACCUCUUCUUGUUGUGUGAUGUGAUUAAUUAUCUCCUCGAUAUUGGCUGGUGAUCGCAUACAAUGAUCAAGGGUUGGUGAUUCUUCAAUCUAAGAUUUUAUGUGUAUUCUUCAAUCUAAGAUUUUAUGUGUACAUACUAAAGCAAGUAGGUGCACGGUGCUCACCAACUCAAUUAUUUCAUAAUUUGUCUAAAUUAUUUCAUUUCCAUAAGUUUCAUCUUCCAAAAUGCGAAUAGAAAUUAACAAUGGAUUACAUUAUUUGCAUAUACUCUUUUUUUUUUUUUUUUCUUUUUCGUUUUUUUUGGAAAAGUCAUUAUCUGGCUUGGACAGAGGACGCAAUUUUUUUUUUUUUUUAAUAUUUGACAACUCUUAAAAAAAUUGUAAUAUUUGACAAAUGAGCCCAAAUAUGGCUCGUUAGGUCCUCAAAGUGAGUUGGGCCUCGUUAAGGCCCAUACAGAAAAACAAAGCCCGAUUGUCUUGUCCGCAUAGAACUUUAUAUGCGCCUACUCCCUAGUCCCUACAACUGCACCGGUACUAACGCCGUUAAAGGCUGUUAACGUGUCCCUCGUUUCCUCUUCCUUUCCCCCUUUGCACCUCUCGAAAAAGAGGCGAUCGAGCUGACCCCCGAUCCGAUACCUUCUCCUCCAAAUUAGGGUUUCGAGGGUUCUAGGGUUUCUUCGAUCGCGCGAUCUCUCCUCUCUCUCUCUCUCUUGCUUCCCCCAUGGCGUUGGAGUGGGUGGUCCUUGGCUACGCGGCGGGGGCGGAGGCGAUCAUGCUGGUGCUGCUGACGCUCCCGGGGCUCGACGCGCUGCGGCGGGGGCUCGUCGCGGCGGUGCGCAGCGCCCUGAAGCCGCUCCUCGCGGUGGUGCCCUUUUGCCUCUUCCUCCUCAUGGACAUCUAUUGGAAGUACGAGACGCGCCCCACGUGCGACCAGGAGCACGCGUGCACCCCCUCCGAGCACCUCCGCCACCAAAAGUCCAUCAUGAAGAGCCAGCGCAACGCCCUCCUCAUCGCCGCCGCGCUAGUCCUCUACUGGCUCCUCUUCUCCGUCACCUCCCUCGUCGUCCGCAUCGACCAGCUCAACCAGCGCCUGGAGAAGCUCAAGCGCCAGGAGUGAGCGCAUGAUCGGCCUCCGAUCUCGUGCGAUUUAAGAGCUCCGCGGUCUCGGAUCCGAUCUCGAUCUAGGUUCUGGUUUCUAUCCCCUUUAGUUUUUUUGGAUAUCUUCUCCUUUUUGGUUGUUGUGUGUACGGAUUCUUAAUUUGCAUAAAGUGAAUCGGAGAUCUGGUUAGGGUGUUUGAUCUUAGAUCAUACUGUGGAAGAGCCCGUAAUUUGGUAUGUGAUUCGUAUUUUUAGGUUAAGACUCCUAUUCCUAUCAUGCUAUCGAUUUUGAACAGUGAAUUUGAUUCGGGAUUUUGUGCUGAUGCAUCUUCAAUAGUUUGGUAUUUCAUUGCUGAACGAAUUUAAGAGGUUACUUUUCUGAUUCGUACUGAAGAUUGCUGCGUAAUCUAGUUUAGAAGGCUUCGGAUUUAAAUCUUGGCUUUGUGAGCAGAAGCAUCAUUAUCUGAUAAAUUGAGUUUUCUUGGUUUAUAUUUUAUUCGUGUUUCACUGUAUGUUUGAACCUUUACUUGCAACUAAAGCUGCUGAGUAUUGGAGUGAUCACCAAAAAUGCUGGAGAGAGCUCCUGAACUGGGUUGGUUGUGUUAGGCUGGAUCUUAGUGUGGUAAUCCUAAGAGCAUAUUUUCCAGUAUUUAACUUUUGGGCAUAUUUGCAUUCAUAUUACAUCUCAGUUGCGAAGACACUGUUUCCGAUACACUAUUUUUGGUGUCUAACGACUGCUAUCAGCCUUUUUGUUGCCCAUAUAAUGUUUUCAGAUUUGGUAUCAUGACAGUUUCAUACUCACAAGGAAAUUUUUAGCUGCAGCUGGAAUAAUUUCAGCAUUUUGUUAAAAUCUGAUAAAAUCAAUCUUAACUUGAUAUCUUGUGCGUUGUGUUGUUGUUUUGUUUUAUUUUAUUUUAUUUUAUUGUAGACUUGUUCAAGUUGCUGUUAUGACAUGCUUGUACUCAGAUAUGUUGAAUUGUAUAUCCUCUGUGGAUAUCGCUUAUUAGAGACGUUCGUUGUGUCUUAAGUCAGUAUUCAUGUCCUGUGCCUGCUACUUCAUAAGGUUUUUCUUUGAAUUUUUUUUUUCUUUUCUACAUUGAUAUACAUUUGCUAUUCAUGGUAUUAUUCUUUUAUUACAGUAAUGACUUUACAAUAUUUUUGAGGUCCAGUUAAGUCAGUUGCCUUGUUCUGUGAGUUCCUAGUUGUGUAGUACCAAAACUGACAAUGUUGGUUUAUUCGUCAGCUCUACAAAAACCAGGAGCUUCUUGAUUGGGUUUAGUUUGUUUGAGCUUUCCACGGUGACCAGUUUGUAUCAGUUUGGAUAAUGAUUCUUGAAUAACAAGUUAUAUUUGGUUUCGAACAAAUCCUAAUAUAUGGUAACAUUGAGGAGAGGUUGCUUUAUAUUGGUUUGGGUUUGGGCUUAUAAAAGUUUAAGCUUGAAGAGGUACAAUCUUAAUUUUUGGCUCUUUUAUUUCUUUCCCGUGAGGGCUAAGGAAGCAGUUUCUUCCUUCAUAAUUAGGCCCUUCUUUUAGUUCUUCUGCAGUGGAGCAGCUCUAGUAAUGGGAGCUGCAAAAAGUGGCAUCAUAUUGAACGAAUUGUUUACUUUUUAAUCCUAUUCAGCGAAAGCCAUGGCAACUCCCUUUCUUUGAUGCUGCAGACAAAGAAGCUUCAAUGAAUUAAGCAGAUUGGUAUGUACUACGAAGCUUCCUCGUUCAGACAACUGAUAUAUAUAUUUUUUUCUUUUGUUUUUCUUAUGCCCUUUCUGAGGUUGAAUCUUUGCUAAUUAGAGCAUCAUAUUACUUGCAUUUAUUAUUCUACACCUGCUCGGGAUUCAAUUUUGCAUUGAUCUCUCUUCUAUAUAUUUGAGUACGCCGUUCUCUUACAACAAUCUAUUCUCCAGUGUGGUACUCCUAAUCAUUAACAAGCUCUUGGGACUUUGAUUAUUGUAGGAACUAAGUUAGAUUCCGCCUCCACGCUUUCUUUGGAUUCGUCUUUUUCUGCUCAUCGGGAUAGGGCUAUGGCUUCAAUCUUUGCUGAUUUAUGCUGCUUUUCCAUCUCUUGCUUAUUUUUGCAAACUAAAUUCGAGUUCUGAACCCAAAUGAAUGUCUUUAGUAGCAUUAGACUCUCCACUCUGUAGGCAAUUCUGAUAUGCGAUCCGAUCCGGACCCGAAUUCGGUUUCAGAACCUCUAAAAACCUAACCUCCUGCUCCGUCCCUCGGGUCGCACCACCGAGGAGAUCACCAGCGCCCUCCACGGAGACCUCCGCCUCUAAAAACCUAAUAUUCAUUAGAUUAGUAAUAUCUUUUAAUCAAUUUCUUUUCUUAUGAAAAUUUUGUUAUUAUUAUAUUAAGAUUUAGGCCUAUAAAUAAGAAAUCUUUUCUUAUUUUAAUAUCUUUCAACUUUUUUUUUUUUUGGAAUGAAACGUUAAAUUAAUCUCUUUAUAUCAAAAUUAUCUCUUUAUAUCAAAAUUAUAGUGAGGAUCGAGAAAUUCUUAAAUAAAAAUUUGUUAAAAAAAAAAAGGCCAUCCAGUUGUCCCGCAUUAAAAUUUUUGUUGUACCGCGACAAUCUUGGUGUAAAAAGUCAAUUGGUAACUUCAUAUUUAACUGUGUACAAUUUUUCGUGGGUUGUUAAUAAAUACGCAUGUUUUCUUGCCGCGGUAUCUUUUAUUCAGUCCUACGACAAGCGAAUACUAUGUUGCCUAAUAAAUGGCUCAAAUUUUAGAUCUGCUUUGCGUUGCAGUUUCAGAUACUUUUGGAUGCAUUUUGGUACUAAAAUCUUAUGAGAUAUGGGCAUUAGUUUUUUAAUUUUAUCUUUGACUAUAAUAAAUUUUUAGUAAAAAUAUAUUUAACUUCGUUGAACUGAAAAUUAUUUUGAAUUGGCGAUCUAAUAUUUUAAAAUUUUGAUAUGGCUAUUCAUUCUUUUAAUUUAUUUGAUUUGGAUCUGUCAAUAAUAUUUUAACUUCAAAUUUUGAAUAUAUUAGUUAUUUUUAUAAGUCUAAUUAGUAUAUUUCAUACCGCUUUUACAACUACAAAUUUAUUAAAACAAAUAAUUAAUUUAAAUUUUAGGUCAAAAUACUCAGACAGUAAAAUUAAAAAUUUUAAAAAUCAAAUAGUUAUUUUGAAAUUGAUCUUAGAUAAAUUUUUUACGUGUUUUUUUUUUUUGUUUUUUUGUUUUUUUUUUUUUUUUGUCAUGCACUAGAAAAAUUCAAGCCUCUUAACUAAUUAAACUAACUCACGCGUUAGUGGCACCGUCGGAGUGGUGACAGCCAACCCAAGUUGAGAAAACUAAUCAUUGCCAUUCAGAACGAAAAUUCAAUUAUAUAUUAGUGAUGUUACGUUCUAACUAAUUAAAUACAUUUUUUUAAUUAAUUUAUUCUAUCAUAAUUAUAAAAACAUUUUAAUUAUAUUUAUUUUUAAAAUAUAAUUAAUUUAUUAUUAAUUAUAUGGUGCAAAGAUAAUACAAUAAAUUUCCUGUUCAUAGCAGAGAAAUUCCUCUCAGCUGUCUGCCACGGCACCAUCCACGUGAUCACUGGACCCAACUCUUGUCUGCUCUCUCAUCAUCCUGCAGAGCAGUCUCUCCCUCACAGUUAUUCUACAUAAAAAUUUUAUUAAAUUAUAUUAUAUUUUAAAUAAGGCCUUUUUGUAUAAAAAAUUCACUUAUUUUAGGCUUUUGUAAAAUCGGAUCACCUUUUUCGUUUUUGCAGAUUCGGUCCGCUUUUUCAGCAAACUGACCAAAAUACCAUUAUUACUUUUUCUCUUUCCUCUUUUUCUCUCCUCUUCGUUUCUGUCGUUCUUUUUUUUUUCUCGCCGAUAAAAAAAGAGGCGGAUCGGACCGUCGCCUUCUUCUUCACCGUCGCCUCCCUCCUCACCAUCCCUCCUCUCCACCGCUCGCGACCCCCUUCUCCUCUCCCUGCCGUCGCCGCCGAGCCCACCCCCACCGUCAUCUCCGUCGCCGUCGCCGAGCCCACGGCCAUGGCGGUGGCGGUGAAGGCGGAAGAGAGCGGGGGGGAGGGGAGGGGGUCGCGCGACUCCAUGGCCAACACCAUGCUCUCCUUGAACGGCACCGCCCCGCCGUCGUCGUCGCCGUCGCUAUUGGCGCUGUCGUCGUCGUCGUCUUCCGCCUUCUUUGACGCCGCUUCGCUGAGUAUGGAGCCCGUGUCGGCGCCGGGGGGCUCAAAGAAGAGGCGGUCGACGUGCGCCGACGACUUGAUGCCACGUAUCACGCUCUCCGAUGACUCGCCGUCAUACUACUCGUCGAACGGCGCCGUCGACAGGCUGGUCAUGUCCCGAUCGCGCCCCUCGUCCUACGAGUUGGUGAAGCGCGACUCCGGCGAGUCCGGCCAGUACACCGAGUUGGCCGUCUUGUACAUGCAGCCCGAUGACGGCGAGGCGGAGAAGAAGACGACGGCGAAGAAGAAGGCCUAAACUAGAUGCGGAGGCCGAGGCGCAGAAGAAGACGACGGCGAAGAAGAAGAAGGGGAGGCCGAGCGGCAGGGCGCAGGAGGGGGAGGCGGAGGCGCAGCCGGCGCCGGCGCCGGCGCCGCGCGUGUUUUUCUCCGUCGGCGCCGCCCCUCCUCCCGCCGCCGCGCAGAAGCCGCCGACCAGCGAAUGGUAUAAUAGUGCAAAUGGUGUAAUGGUGUAAUGGUGUAAUGGCGUAAUGGUGUAAUGGUGUAAUGGCGUAACGGUGUAAUGGUGCAAAUAGUAUAAUGGUGUAAUGGUGCAAAAUUGUAAUGGUGUAAUGGUGCAAAUGGUGUAAUGGUGUAAUGGUGUAAAAUGGUGUGAUGGUGUAAUGGUGUAAUGGUGCAAAAUUGUAAUGGUGUAAUGGUGCAAAUGGUGUAAUGGUGUAAUGGUGCAAAAUGGUGUAAUGGUGUAAUGGUGCAAAAUUGUAAUGGUGUAAUGGUGUAAUGGUGUAAUAGUGCAAAUGGUGUAAUGGUGUAAUGGUGUAAUGGUCCCCACUCCUCGCCAGCGCCGGCUGCGCCUCCGCCUCUCCCCUCCUGCGCCCUGCCGCUUGGCAUCCCCUUCUUCUUCUUCGCCGUCGUCUUCUUCUCCGCCUCGGCCUCCGCAUCUAGCCUGACCCCGUUCGUCGCGGCCACUGCCGCUGCCGCUUGCGGCGAUGGGAUCGGGCUGGGGGUCCGCGGCGCGCGACGCUGGCUGUGCUUCCGCCUCUCCCUCCUGCGCCCUGCCGCUCGGCCUCCCCUUCUUCUUCUUCGCCGUCGUCUUCUUCUCCGCAUCCAGCCCGACCCCGUUCGCCGGGGCCGCUGCCGCCGCAACGACAGGAUCGGGCUGGGGGUCCGCGGCGGCAGGGGAGAGGAGGAGGGGUUCGCGGGCGGUGGAGAGGAGGGUGAGAAGGGAGGCGACGGUGAAGAAGAAGGCGACGGUCCGCCUCUUUUUUUUUCGGCGAAAAAAAAAAAACGAUAGAAACGAAGAGGAGAGAGAAAGAGGAAAGAGAAAAAGUAAUAAGGGUAUUUUGGUCAGUUUGCUGAAAAAGCGGACCGAAUCUGCAAAAACGAAAAAGGUGAUCCGAUUUUGCAAAAGUCCAAAAUAAGUGGAUUUUUUAUGCAAAAAGGCCUUUAAAUAAUAAUUAAAAAAUGCAAUUGUUUAUAUGAUUCUGAAAAUUUAUCGACUUUGAUUUAUUAUUCUUAAAAGACUAAUAUUGAAAAUACUUUUUUUACGUUCUAACCUAUUUCAAAUAUAUAUCUAAAGUUAAAUUCUGUCCGUUAGAAAUAGCUGUUAUCUGCAUAAAAUUACUAUUUUACCAUUUCAAAUAUAUCCUUCCACUAUUACCGAUUUUAUUAUUUGCCUUUAAAUUAGGGAUACAAAAAGAAUUUUGAUUUUUAGACUUUUCAAAUAUACCAUUAUGCUAUUACCAGUAUUUUUUAUUUGUUCUUAAGUUAAGGCUAAGGUAUGUAUUUUGAUUUUUUUAACUCUAGUAGAUAUUUAACUCAUGUUUAACCUAAAUUAACUUAACGGGUGGUAACUAUAGGGAUAUUUUAGAAUAACGAAGAAACUUAUAAAAAAUAUAUUAAAAAAAAUAUAUAGUAAUAAAUAAAUAUUUUUGAAAAUUUGAAAGGUAUAUAGAUAAUUAUUUUUAAUAAAAAAUUAUUUAUUUAUGUAAUAUAUUUGGAAUUAUGAUAUAUUUUUUUGUUAGUACUGACAUAGUCCACAUCCACAGGUGCAGUAAGAUGACAAGAAGUGGAAAAAAUAAAGACGACGAGACAACGGUGAACCGUGGUACCCGAUGAGAUCCGUCCGUUGAACUGCUGAGAACUAUCGGUGGACGGACGGCCCUGAUCGAAUACGGCUUUCUCAAGGAUUUCCACGUCCGGGGGCGUUCGUGCAAAACGGCGAUCCCCCGAUCCCAACGCCGACUCCGCUUUGAUUCGCUCACCCGGACAAGUCCGCAUCGUCUUGCAUUCACGCGGGUCCGGUGCAUGAAUUACGUGGUGGACCCGGCGUAGGGAGAAAUUUUAUUACUUGGGUGGGGUCCACACGUAACGCGCUAUUUGUUGCCAGGCGCGACCGCGUCCAACAGUGGAAUGUUCUCUUUCUUUUUUUUUUCUUUUUUUUUUUUUUUAAGAAAAAACCGAACCGUUACGAUGAGGCAUUUUCCAAAAAAGACUCGGUCUCCCUCGGAUGGUAAAAUGGCCCAAUAAUGUUCACAUUUUUUUUAAUCUUUAAAAUAUUGAUUAUUUAACUAUUAUGUAACAGCUCCUUGGAUGCUUUUCCCACAAUUUUGUUUGUUUGUUAUAAUUUUUUUAUGAUUUCAGCAAAUUGUUAGUGGAAGGGUUAAAUCGUAUUAAAUUUUUAUGCGACACAUAAAAGAUAAUUUUAUACGGAAUUAUAUAUUCUGAGUUUAAUUCUACUUUUCCGUGGAGUCACCUCUUUUGAAGAGCUCCUCACCAAUUUUUUUUUAUAUAGCUUCAUCGUACACUGGGAUCUUAAUUUCAAUAACGUAUUGAACAGUUUUUUUUUUAUGUAAAAUAAUUUAUUUCUCUUUCCAUGCAAAAACCGUCGUUGUCAAAAUAAACACAAAAUGAAAAGAAUCAAAUUCGAUCAGAGCUCACUGGGCAAAAGCCGACCCGACCGACCGACCGAGCAAUUGUGGAAAUUUUCUCCACUCUGUUCAAAUUUGCAGCGUAGAAUCGUUCUUCCCCGUAGUCCCCAUCCUCUGACUCUCGGACAGUAACAGUACAGCAAUUAAAAUGCGCCUUGAGUUUGUUGGCCCCACCACUUUCUCUUUUAUUACAUCUAAUUAUUAUUAUUAUUAUUAUUAUAUUAUUAUAUUAUUAUUGUAGAAAGAAAAAAGGUGUAAUAGUAGGGUUUUGGUACCGCUUCAACCCAAAAAAAUUAGAAAAAAAAAAAAAAGAGACACAGCCUCUUUUCUCCUCUCUGCGUUUUCCCUUCCUCUCCCUCUCUCGUCUCCAUGGUUUAGCUCUUCUUCGUCCCCGAACCCUAACAAUGGCGUCUCGUCGCUGUACCAUGGAGUCAACCCCUCCUCUCCUCCUCCUCCUCUUCCUCUUCCUCUCCAUCUUCCUCCUCCUCUCCUCCCACGUCGGCGGAGCACCGGACCUCGACUCCGACCGCGCGGCGCUCCUCGCCUUCGCCGCCGCCGGAACCCUAGGCAACCUCACCGCCCUCCGCGUCCUCUCCCUCCGCUUCAACGCCCUCUCCGGCCCCCUCCCCUCCGACCUCGCCGCUCUCCUCGAGCUCCGCAACCUCAACCUCCAGCGCAACUUCUUCUCCGGCGAGAUCCCCGUGGGGCUCCUCUCCCUCCCCAAUCUCGUCCGCCUCAACCUCGCCGACAACGGCCUCUCCGGCGGGAUCUCGCCGGAGUUCGGGAAGAUGACGCAUUUGAAGACGCUCUACCUCGAGAGGAACCGGCUCACGGGGCAGAUCCCUGACCUCAACCUCGCCUCGCUGGGCGCGUUCAACGUCUCCUACAACCUGCUCAACGGAUCGGUGCCCGAGGGGCUGCGGCGGAUGCCCGCGAGCUCGUUCCUGGGCAUGCCGCUCUGCGGCGGGCCCCUCGGCCCCUGCCCCGGCGAGAUCUCUCCCGCGCCCGCGCCCGGCCAGGCCCUCGCCCCGGGGGCGCACUCCUCCUCCUCCGGCGGCGGCGGCGGCGGAGGCGGCGGCAAGAAGCUUUCCGGGGGCGCCAUCGCCGGCAUUGCGAUCGGAUCCGUCGCAGCGACUCUGCUCGUCCUCGGCCUCCUCUUGCUCCUGUGUCGGCGCUGCGGCGGCAAGGGUUACAACGCGAAGGACGCGGCGGUGGCGGAGAUGGCGCUCAAGGAUAAAGAGGUGGUGGGGGCGCCGAACGGGUACGGCGGCUACGGGGCGGCGAGGGCGGCGCCCGCCCUGGCUCCGGCGGCGGCGGCGGCGGCGCCGGCGCCCCCGAGCGGGGGGAAGAAGCUGGUGUUCUUGGGGCCGGGGCCGAGGGUUUACGACCUGGAGGAUCUCCUCCGGGCCUCGGCCGAGGUGUUGGGGAAGGGGACGUUCGGGACGACGUACAAGGCGGUGCUCGAGAUGGGCCCCGUGGUGGCGGUGAAGCGGCUCAAGGACUCCAACCUCCCGGAGAGGGAGUUCAGGGACAAGAUCGGCGCCGUCGCCUCGUUGGAUCACCCCAAUUUGGUUCCCCUCCAAGCAUUCUACUUCAGCAAGGAUGAGAAGCUUCUCGUCUAUGAGUACGUGAGCAUGGGAAGCCUCUCCUCCUCACUCCACGGUACACUCUUCUCCUUUUCUUCUUUUUUUCUUUUUUUUUUGGUUCUCUCUGAUAUCUUUUUUCCUGCUCCAAAUCAUAGAAUUCUAAAGAUUUUAGAUUCUAAUGUUUUUCCUAAAUUUGUUGUUCCGAUUAAAUUGAUUUAAGAAUUUGGUGGGAUUUCUCGUAAAUCAAUAUGAUUUGAGGUAGAAUUUUGAUCAGCAGUGAUAUUUUUACCAAUAGCCACAAAUUGCUGGUGCUAAGAAUAGUCAUGUUAUCGGUAAGGAUUAGUUGGGAUAGGUAGAUACAUUGAACCUACUUCCAAUUUUUUACCAACCAACAAAAAAGGAUUUGUUGGGAUAGGUAGAUACAUUGAACCUAUUUCCCUUUUUUUACCAACCAACGAAAAAGGAAGAGAGUUUGAUUUGACUGAGCUCCAAUUAUUUUCAAAUUUUUUAAAAAAUCGCUUCUAAAAGAAUUCGACCAAUUCUUUCUUUGAACUGAUUUUCAUUGUACCCCUACCAGACUCUUUAAGUUUCUUAUUACUUACAUAACUAUCUAAUUAUACAGGGAAUAGAGGAUCUGGCCGCACCCCGUUGGAUUGGGUUGCGAGAUCAGGUAUCGCCCUUGCCGCGGCCAAGGCAAUCCAAUACAUCCACUCGACCAGCCCGAAAGCCUCGCACGGCAACAUAAAGUCCUCCAACGUCCUCCUCUCCGGACCGUCGGAAGCCCGCGUCUCCGAUCAUGGCCUGGCUCACCUGGUUGGCCUGGCUGCCGCCCCGACCCGGGCCUCCGGUUACCGGGCCCCUGAAGUCACCGACCUUCGCAAGAUCUCUCAAAAGGCCGACGUGUACAGCUUCGGUGUGCUCCUAAUGGAGCUUCUCACCGGCAAAGCGCCGGCCCAUGCGGUCCUCAAUGACGAGGGCGUUGAUCUGCCACGGUGGGUCCAAUCGGUGGUCCGCGAGGAGUGGACAGCUGAGGUGUUUGAUGUGGAGCUGCUGAGGGAUCAGCAUGUGGAGCAGGAAAUGAUGGAGCUAUUGCAGCUCGCGUUGGACUGCGCAGAGCAGUAUCCAGACAAGCGCCCGACGAUGUCCGAGGUGGUGGUCCGGAUUGAGGAAAUUAGGGCAUCGAGCUUGGGCUCUGGCGAGAGACGCCGGCAGCAAAAUGGCCACGAAACCAUCGAAUCCGCGGACCGAUCAUCGUCAAUGAUUUCCGAACUUCAGGCUGUUGGAUUUUGACUGACCAAACGUUUGCCAUGUAUCCACCUAACCACAUUAUCGUCGGUAUUCGAUUCUUUGAUUUGGCUAAGUUAAAGAUUUCAUCUUCUCCAGUGUUCGCUUAAGUUUUCCAAUUCUUGAACUCCUGCAGGGUCUUGAUGCUACGAUGGUGUGUGUGCAUUCAAUCAAUCUGUUGUUUGUUUUGCUUACUUUUUAACUUUCAUCUUAGGUUAUUCUUUCUAGGUGGUUAAAAGAGGGUGAAAGUGAUAAUGUGGUGGGCAAGGUUUGAUGUAAUUACUUCGUUACUGCUGUUUUCUGCAUGUCGCGUUGUUGUUAAUAUUCGUAAUGUUGUUUAGAUUUGUACAAUGCCGCAUUAAGACUUUUUUCAGUUUGGUGAGCUGUUGUUAUUCUUGCAAGUUUCAUUCGCAUUUAUUAUUUCCCAAUCGGCUGAUAUUAUUUGGGUGUGUUAUGCUAACUUUUGAGGAGUUACAUCUGCAGCUGAUUUAUUUAAUAUCUUCCUGGCUAAUUAUAUAUUAACUUGUUAGGUUCAACUUUAUGCUCUUGUGAAGUAUUAGCACACAAAGUAAACUCGGAUUCUCUAUACUCUAUUUUAUCACUUAAGAUGAAAUAAAACAAUCUUAAACUUAGAAGAGCAUACUAAAAUUCAGCUUGGAAUUCUAUUUCCAACAUUCUGAGAAAAUCUAAGUUCAGCGAUCCUGUGUUUUAAUUUUCCACUCUUUUCUCUGCUUUGCCUCAACUUUGCAGUGAACAGAAUCUCGGAAAGAUGCAGAAACAACGGAGCAAAUUAUUCACCACAAAAGCUCUAAAGUGAAUGCUUUUUUAAAGAUUUUCAUUUUUGACCAGGUUUGCUUUAUACCCCUAGGUUUUGUUUCACCCCCAAAUUAAUUUUAUAUGCCACUUUUGGUAAAUAAUCAGAAAAGGAGCUAAAGUUCAUCUUCAGCUUCUGAUUUUUUUUUUUUUUUUCGAAAUUCACGUGCCAUUGGAUGCAAUAAUAAAAAAUAUGGAUUUUUAUUCAUUAACAAUAAUUGCAAUCACUCUCACAUCAAUAAUCCGAGCUGUGAUCUCACACCACCCCUUAAUAAUAUAAUGAACUUAAAUAUAAGCUAGAAUAUGCCUGGUUGUUUCCCUCAUUCUAUGUCUACCUAAUUGGAUGGAUAAUUUUAUUCCAGUAGUUUCAUUUUGAUUCAUUUAAAAAACGCCGCGUUGCGAUCGAUGCACGUCUAUUAGGUAGGGUUUAUAGGUCAAAACAGUGAUUUUAAUACAACUAAUGGAGCCAACUCAGAGUGAUCAAUUGAAGCCAUUAAGAUAAAGUAUGCCCACUUGUCGGUGCCGUUUAGCUUUGAUUAUGCACGUCCUAAUUCGAAAAUCAGGUCAAAAAAUAUAUCUAAAAACAAAACAUAGAACCAAAGUUUGGUGGUUUUCUAUAUAGUAGUUGUAUCGCAUCAUUUAUAUUUUGAACUAAUUAAGUAAAAAGACUUUUGAGAUGAAAAUAUAAUUAUUUUCCUCAAAUAUUUUUCACGUAAGUUAAUAGCAUGUCAUAAAGCUAAUGAUUACAGAGGCUAAGAUCGAUCAGCAUGAAGAAAUCAUUAUGAACCGUUACUACAAUGACAAAGUAGAUUCCAUUGCUGUAAACAAUGUAUUUGAUUAUUUCACACAUUAAUAGAUAGAGGUGAGGAAACAUCAUUUUGUAUGCUCGUAAACAUAAAGCACAUAUAAAUUAAAGCCACCACAUGCCAAAGUUCCCUUAGGUUUGUACCAACUUUUGUUAGUCAUGCAUAGAGACUUUUAUUAGGAUCUUAUUAUUUAUUAUUUAAUACCCACUAACCACCAACAAGGAGUUAUUAUCAAGAACUAAUAGAAUAUCAUCUUUCAGUGGUUGGUCCGAAACUGCUACUAUUUUUUUAGCUGCUGUUAACAAUUUAAUUUACAAAAUGGUCGAAAGAAGCUCACUGCUACAGGAAUCUUGAGCAUCAUUAUAAAAGAAGUUUAAUUCCCCUUCUAGUUCACUUUAAAUGAAAAUUCGAAAUCAUGAAUUGUUCGAUGUAAUCAACUCACUUGACAUUGCAAAUAUUCGUGUUUCCUUCAUUUUUUUUGUUUCUUUUAUUGGUGGCUUAUUUUAACAUGUAUUUCAAUUUGAUAUGCAUUAGGUGGGAAUUAUGAUUAUCAUCAUCAUCGUCAUCAUCAGUAGCUUGGUUAUCUCAAUGCCAAUGUGUACUCAGCAGUUACACAUAUUUUACAACUAAUUUAAGUACAAAGAGAGAUUAUUAAAGUUGUUUUGAGUUAUAAAUAAAUGUCAAGAGAUCGACGUGAAGAAAUUAAUUGCAAUAUCUAUCAUGUGGUGUGAGCUGUAAAGUUGAAAAAGAUGAUAACUCCCAAUAAUAAAGUAGGGCAUUUGUGCUCUAUAAAGAAGAGAAAGGUUCAAUUAAAGGAGAAAAUUGGAGAGGUGGAGCAAAGAGGGGAGAGAUGCUGUGCAUCUAAAGGUGUAAAGGGCAAAAGAAAAAGGAUUGGAAAUAGUAAUGAAUAUUUAUUGGACACUGGGGAUUGGACAAAGUGAUUAUGUUUAAUUUGUUUCGGAAAUCGUAAUACUUGGGUAAUAAAAAGAAGGGAAUUUUCAUUUUUAAUUUGAGCCCAAUAGAAACUAUUAAUGGCUCAUUAAUCACCUCACCAUGUAGGUAAAAUUGUACCCUUUAAUUAAGGCGGAAUAGCACAUUAAUCACUUUUCAGGUGGAAUUAAUGCAGGAUUUAUCGGUUUGAACCCCAUUUAAGAGAGAGAGAGAGGUUGAUGAGAUGAGAUAAAGAAAGAGGAUCUUAUUUCCAAAUUUAACUGCUGUAUAGAGUUAAGAAGGAUUGCACAGAUUAGUUGGUUAUAAAUCGAGUGGAAUCUAAGUUGUCAAGGGUAGAGACCUUUACGCGUGCAUUUCUAACCAAACGGAGGUUUGAGUCUCCGAUCUUUGAGACACCCUAAGAGAGAUUUUGUUUUCGGAUCAAAUUGCUAGAUAUAUACUAACACGGAUUGCGCAAAAUAGUUGGUUAUAUCUCAUAGUGCUAUCUAGGUUGUCAGAGGUUUACACUUUUACGUGUGCCUUUCUAACCAAAUAAACGUUUGAGUCUCCAACUUCUGAGAUUUUGCUUUCAGAUCAAACUGUUAAAUAUAAAAAGAAGGAUUGCACAAAAUAAUUGAUUAUAUCUCGGAGUGCAAUCUAGGUCGUCAAAUGUUCAAACCUUUUUGUGUGCAUUUCUAAAAAAAUAGAGGUUUGAGUCUCGGACUUCUGAGACACCCUUACAGAGAUUUUGCUUCCAGAUCAAACCUUUAAGGGCGUGUUUGGUUUAAGGGUGGAAUUGGAAUGGAUAAUACAAUGGGAAUGAAUUGGAAUGGUAAUUGGAAUGGCCCACUCCUCCAAGACGUUUGGUUUAUUUGUGGAUUGGAAAUUAGAAUGAGUUAUUCACAUUUCAUUGUUUGGUUCGUAUAAACUAAAAAAAUUAUAGGAUACUAUAAUACUAAUUUUACUCUCAAAUAUAAAUUUAUAUUAUUUAAAAUUUAUGAAAAAUAUAAUACUAUUCUCUAAUAAGUUUUCUAAAAAAAAAUAUCAAAUUUAUUUUUAAAAACUUUUAUUGAUGUGGGUUAGGAAUAGAGUUUUGAGAGAGAAUAGAUUUUUUUUUUUUUUUUUUUUUGAUGAGAAAGGGGUAAAGAGAAGGAGGGUGAGAUGGUCACAUGGGCUUCGAAAACUUAGUGGGCUUCCGAAAUGAAAUCUCAAUCCGGACUAGAAGACCGGAAUCAAGUUGAAGGCUAACGGGUCAUUCCCAUUCCGGUCCAGAAUAGGAAUCCCAAAUCGAUUCAUGUGAACAAAACAAAAUUAACCGAAUUUGAUCAAACCGAUUCCCAUUCUAUACCCAAAAUGGAUGAACCAAAUAAGCCCUAAGUGUGUAUUUCUGAAAACAAAAUAGAGAUUUGAGUCUCCGACUAUCAGUAUAGGCUUUUGCAAGGAAUCCAAUGUCUAAGAGUAGAUACCCACUUUUUUUUAACCUGUGUAAACUCAAGCCAGGUAACGACGCCGAGGAAAAGGCCAAGCUACCUCAAUGUAAGAUGGGCUCUCGGCCCAUAAUUCUUUUACUUUUUUCAUGAAAGGUUUGGGCUUAAUACAAAGAAAUGAUGAAUGGACCGAUAUUAUGAAUAAAACGGGCCGAUGCUGGAGCCCCAACAUGGGUUCGUCCUUCGCGCACGAAAUAAUUUAUCUUAACUGGAUUUGAGUCAGGACCUAACUUGGUCACAUGUAGGCCCUAUAUCACUCGAUAUUUGAAACUUAGUAGCAUAUUUAUAUCUAUCUACGAAAAUAACAUCGCGUGCUAUACAAAGCAAUAUCGUUUUGAAAAUAUUUCUCUGCUAAACAAAUAGCAAAGAAGCACCACCAAAUAUUUUUUUUUAAAACUUUAAGAAAGUUCAACGAGUUUGCACAGAAAACCUUUUCCCUUAUAUACUUACGGAAGAUAUUUUGGUCCCCAAAGCAUAGUUUUGUAACAUCGUCAUGUUCGAAUAACCUAUGAGCUAGCGCCCUUUGGCUUUUAGUUUGUGACAGAGAUUACACUUAUCAUCAAAAACCUUUUUUUUAGAGAAAGUUAGCAUGCUAUCCACUUCAUUUAUUAAAAAGAUAAAUUAAACUAUACCCUGUAAGAUAAUAAACUUCUGGGUAAAAAAAGGGUAUGGGCAGUGUCGUUUAGUCGAGCAACGUUCCUUCCACUGGAUCAUCAAUUGCCUAAUCUUGUUAACUGCUAGUAGGGGAUCAGUGUUAGUAUUUCUAAAAAUAAUAUUAUUCCUUACAGUCUAAACGACCCACCAACUAACUAUCAGUUUGGUUAGUCUAGUUCAAAUAGACUGUGUACCUUUCCCUGUCAUCCAUUUAUCCCAGACGAAUCUCACAUCCAUUAGGAUCUUUACUUUCUGCUUACGGUAGUUAACGUACACAAACAUGACAACUAAAACAUACCUAACUAACCCAAUUUGAUUGCAUUGUAAUUGAUUAACCUCUUAAUUCAUUACUACCAAUGGACGCAAUAGACACGAAAACUCACUACUACAUAUAGUGAGCAUGUAACUUUCAUGUUCCUAUUUACUUACAAGAUCCUUGUCCCACCAACUCCACAAACCAAUGGCGUUCGUUAUUUAUGCAUCACUAGAUCUUAUGAUAACUAUACUAUUUUGUAUAUCCCCCUUCCACAAUCUAAUUCUAAAUUUAACUAAUAAAGCAUGACAUGAAAUAUUUUCUUAGAAUCUGAAUAGGAGUUGGAUAAAACAAAUAAUUACUAACCAUCCUAUUCCAAAAUUGCAUAUUAAUUUCUCUCCUGGUCUUCAUAUUCAAAGCUCAAUCCCUCUACCACCAACAAUUCAACACUAUUCAAAAGUGUUAUAGUUUCAUAUAGCAAACCUGUUGACACAUAUUUUUGCCCCUUUCCUUCUAAUUAAGAUCAUUAAAGUGGCUAUUAGUGACCCGUGAAGCAAUAAUAUACUAUCAUGCACCGAUCGAAACUCGUCAUCCUCAACUGUUCAAAUCACUGUUAGGCACUAACCACGUUACACGAGCCAAAACCCGGAUCGGUUCUCGCAACUUAGUCCUCCGAUCGACCAUGGAUCGAGUCAUGCGAGCCCACCAGCUCUAAUCGGUAGGGCUGGCAAACGAGCGAGCCGGCUCGCGUUCGACUCGUGUUCGGCUCGAUAUUCGGCUCGCUCGAGCUCGACUCGAAAUUAAAUGAGCCGAGCUUGAACAAAAUAAAAGGCUCGAAAUUCAUUUCAAGCCGAGCUUGAGUAUUAUUCGGCUCGUUCGAAUUAGGCUCGAAAAGCUCGAAAAGCUCGAAAAUAUAUAUAUAGGUUGGGGCUACUAUACUCUUAUGAGUAUAGACCCCCUUGUACUCAUAAAUUUUUAACCGUUGAUUGAUGGGAUAUAUGGUUAGGAUGAUGGUGGUCCCCACUUAGAAUGACAGUGGUCCCCUAGGGUUGAGGGGGUAGUUGGUUAAAUAGUAUGAUCUAACGGAUGAAAACGAUUAAUGGAAUAAAUCUAAGGGUUGAAAACUUAUGAGUAUAAAGGAGCCAAUACUCAUAAAAGUAUAGCAGCCGGACUCAUAUAUNUGGAAUGCACCACCCACCUUAGAUGGUCACAAGGAUGCUACGGUGAAUUUCUUGAAAUUUUUGAAGCCCUAGUCCGCGUGCUGUGGCUAUCUGUACGGAAAAUGACAUUUUUGUUAAUAACUUUGCGUACACUCGUCGGAUUGUCGAACCGAGCGUUCCAACACGUUUAAAAUACCCUCAAUUAGGUUUCUACAUGAUCAAAAUAGAUCAAAACCCAAUUUGGGCAAAACCCCUCUUUGGGAUGCCCUAACAUGUUAUUUUUGCAUUUCUCCGAGAUUGAUCUCAUUCCUAAGCAAAAGAUAACUUAGAUUCACAUGGGAAGCUCUCUAAUAAGGUUUCUAAGCUUUUAGAACCAUCCCUAGGGCAUCUACUUUGAGCCCUAGUGAUCCACCAUGAGAGGGGUCUAAGAAAUCUAUAUUUUUCAUGGAGUCAUGGUCCUUAGAGGAUUUCCUCACUUGUAGAGAGAUCAAACCCAAAAAUCUAAGGUCUAAACCCAAACCCUAAACUCAUUUUUGCAUAAGGACUCACCUUUGCCCAAGCUCCACCAAAGCCUACUUGUUGGAGAGCUUCUAGGACCACCAAAGCCACCAAAAUCCACUUCUCCAAGCUCUUCUCCACCUUCUCCAAGCUCUAGGGCUUGCUUUCUAGAGAGAGAAAGAGAGGAAAAUGAGAGAGAGGGUGAAAUGGGUGUUGGCUGUGAGGGGAAGGGGUAUUGGGCUAUUAACAUGUUGUAACAUUUGCCAAAAAACCCUCCCAAUCUUUAUAUUUUGCAGCAGACCUUUUUUUGCUGUCGGGCCCAAAGUGUACCGGUACACUUUUUCGUGUCACCGGUUACACGACUAUGCAGAGGCAAACCCGAGAGCAGAUCUGUCAGUUUCGCCCAAAGUGUACCGGUACACUUUUUCGUGUCACCGGUUUCAGCAUGUGUAACCGGUGACAGGUCGCUUGCUGUACCGGUACACAUUGCUCCACACCUGAUUUUUGGCUCCGUUUCGAUUCUAUUUUGCGCCGAUCGAUGCCAAAACCCUUCUAACACUUCUAGAACUCAUUUUUAACCCUCCCAACAGUGUUGGUAGGUUAAUUGGAACUCGCCCAAUUAAUCCAUUCGCGCACUUUAGUCAGUUUGCCUAAAGUUCGUCACUUUCUAUCUAGGUUUCAAUACGUUACAAUUAUUGUUGGCCCAUAAAAUAAACCCAACAAGUACAACCGUGCAAUUGAGCCCAAUUUUAAAUUUACAUAACACACUCUCUCUUUUAGACUUUUACUUUUGCACAUAACCCUAAAAUAUGAUAACAUUCAAAUUUUCAAAUUCCUAAUUUUUUUCUCUUCUCUCUUUCUCUCUCUCUCUUUGACCCUCACUCGGUCAGGCAGUCACCCUAGCUCAUAUUUCUUGCAAUUAUUUUGUAUUUUGAAUUAUUGGACAUGUUGCAUCAAAUUGUAGGUAAUGUUUUAUAAAAAUUAAACUAUUGAUUAUAUAAUGUCGAGAAUUUCAAUCGGCUCGUUUAGAGCUCGAGCUCGGCUCGACUCGAAAUUAGGCUCGCUCGAGCUCGGCUCGAAUUAAUUUCAAGCCGAGCUUGAGCCUAGAUUUAGGCUCGAAAUUAAUUUCAAGCCGAAUUUGAGCCGACAUAAGCUCGCUCGAGCUCGGCUCGUUUCCACCCCUACUAAUCGGUUCACUCGACGACUGGAUCCGGCUAGCUGUGCGUGGUCCGAUUGCUUGGAGAGCUAGCCGAGGACACAAUUUACCAAAUUUAAGUCUAACUAUGAUGCUCGAACAUGGCCAAGUGCUGCAAUUAAUAUAGCUAACCAACUCACACGAAUAUGGUCUAUGAAAUAAAUGGUCAAAUUUAAACCAAUUAAGCUAAGGCUUAUUAAUGGAUAACAAUUAUAUAUAAACAAAAAUAAAGGUAAAUAAUUAAGAAAGAGAUACAACUUGAAAGAAAAGAAAAUUCUUAAUUAGUUAUGAACUACCACCAUCUCAUACCUCGAAGUGCAAAUAACAACUUAGAAUUUACAUAUUCCAUCUGGUCUACAGGUCAAAUUUGAUCAAAAGCAGCUGCACCACUCGUUUAUUGCCACACACAAGGUAAAACCUGAUUAAUUAAGGGAAAAUAAGUUUUGGUUAACAUUUUUUGUUCAACAAAUUAAGUACCUUAACCCAAGAGCCUAAACCAUGAACCUUAAUUAAUCUACUUGAUCUUUGACCUGUGUAUGGAUGAAUAGUACUUUUUUGAAUGUAAUCUAAUCUAAAGAUUGUCAGUAGGAGGAAUCAGGAAUUUAGUCAGAUAGUGGGCGUAGUUCCUGUAAGGUUAGAUAAGUCGUCCGAUUUGGUGAGUUCUUUUAUCUGUUUCUGAAUUCUUUUUCUGUUUUUUUUUUUUUUUUUUGUUUUUACUCUCUUCUUUUCUUCUUUGAGGCUCGGUCGCGUCACAAUUGUAGCUAAGUUUAUAUGUUUAUUGUAUAAAAAAGGAUGACGUGACGUCUUUUUCUAAAUAUUUUUUUUAAAAAAAAUUCUAAAGAUUAAAGAGCACACAAACCACGAUUUUGCUGUGGGAGUCACGUCCCGCUCCGGGCCCAUUUUGAACGACAAAACACUACCUGAAUUUGUAUUAUUGUGUUCAGGUACGGAGCUUAAUUAAUUGAGUCCAAAACCUACCCAAGCAUAAGAGAACUAAUCAAAUAAAGGGAUUUUCAAAUAAUUUUCAUAAUUCACACAUAUUAAUUAUGUCUCUGUAUAAUUUUGAUACGUACACGCAAACAAAUUGUAUGAUAGGUUGGAUGUAUGUAUUGGGGUCUGGUAGUUUCCAACAUAAACGAAUCGCCAAAUCGAUGCAAUACAUAUUUAAGUCCAAACUGAUGCAAGUUGACGCGAUUAACAAAUAAUUUAUUACUUAUUAAUAUUUAUAGUUAAAUAGUAUGUACUUAUACAAUCUUAAAUUGAUUCAUGAGUCCAACUAACCUAGCUAAUUGUGAAACACAAACAUAAUAAUAUGCCAAGUCAAAUCGUCAACCCUUUUCGAGAAAAUAAAAUUCUUUUAUACAAAGAUAGUAUAUAACUAUAUAUGCUAUUCGUUUAAUUAUUUUUUUUUAAAAAAAUAAAUUUAAUUAAAAAUAUGAAAUAAUUAUGUUUUGAACUUGCAACUUCGCAUAUUAAUCGUCAACUUUUUUUAGUACUGUGCUAAGAACGAUGAUUUCUAAUUUUUUUCCAAGAAAGUUACUGUUUCCUACAUAAUGUAUGUCCAUAACUAAAGUCCUCACAAACCAGGUUUGACGUGACCUUCAACAAACCUGGAUACGCUACACUACAUAAUGUGCUUCAAAUGUUCAAGCCAAUUAAUUCAAAACCGACGUAAUUAACCAUUUUUAAUAAAAAGAAAAUCAAAAUCAAAAUCAAUCUAAUGUAACGCUUAUUCACGGAAACCAUGCAUGCACGCAAUCAUUGUUCAAACACCACCUAACUUUUGUUCAAAUCUAAAACCUUCGCAGUGUCCGAUAAAAUUGGCUCACUAGCUAUACGCCUAUAUAUAUAAAGGAGCUAACCCUCUUUAUAUAUAUAUCUCUCUCUCUAUAUGUAUAUGUACUUGGCCUAGUAAUCCUUCAUAUAUAUAUAGCUAAAUUAACUAUGGCCAAGUUACUCACCCAACUCCUUGUUUUCUCUCUCCUUUUGGCCUUUAGGGUUGUAACCUGUGCCCCAAUACUAUCAUGUAGCCAAACUCCUUAUCCUCAAGUUUGUACCUCAAUGCUAAACCCUAGCUCUUUCUUUGCUCAAUCCAAAACUAAGUCCAAGUUCCACAACUUGGUUCUUCAAGCAACCCUCGACCGAGCCGUUCUAGCGCAUCGUCUCGCGUCGGCUUUGGACGUUAGCUCACUCGACCACCGAGCCAAGUCGGCCUGGGCCGACUGCUUAGAGCUAAGCGAGGACACCAUUAACAAGCUCAAUAGCUCGAUCUAUUCCAUACCCAGUGAUGAUGCUCAAACUUGGCUAAGCGCGGCAAUGGCGAACCAACAAUCGUGUCAUCACGGUUUCCUUGAACUCAGUUCUCUACACCACUUCUCUUCCUCACCCUUCGUGUCCAACAAUAUAACCAAAUCUCUUAGCAACUUAUUAGCCAUUAAUAAGGCAAUGGCGACGGUCGAGUCGCGCGGUAACAACCGACGCUUGCUUUCUCGUGGGUUUCCAAAAUGGAUCAAACCUGCGGACCGCAGACUUCUGCAGUCCUCAACCUCAUCGAUAAAAGCAAAUCUCGUGGUGGCGAAAGAUGGCUCGGGCGAUUACACGACCAUCUCCGCCGCUGUGGCGGCAUCCGCGAAGCGACGGAGCGGCACUUCGAGAUAUGUCAUAUACGUUAAGGCCGGCAUUUACAACGAGAAUGUGCAGAUCACGGGGUCGACGAAAAACCUCAUGCUGAUCGGAGAUGGAAUCGGCGCGACGAUCGUCACCGGUAGCCGGAACGUAAAAGAUGGAUCCACGACGUUCCGGUCCGCAACCUUUGGUUAGUUGGUUAAAUAUUCUUUGUCGUCAUCAGAUUUAAUUUCGUGCUUAGUUGAAAUUACCUACACCAAACUCUAGGGUUUUUAGAAGGCCAUAUAUAUAUCUCUUUUGUUGCAUGCACGUACGAGAAAGAAGUUAUUUACCAUACACGUGCUGGCUCAAAACGUGAUUGCUCUUUGAAUAAUUCAGAGCUAAAUUUACCUACAUCAGUAAUUUGUUAAAUAAACGGUUACUGAUGCAAAAGCUUGUAAAAUUAAGGAUAAUAUAUUUAACUACAUAAUUAAUUUGAUGUUAUUGGUCUCCUCAUGGCAAUUGUAGCUGUUGUUGGCGAUGGCUUCAUUGGUCGGGACAUGACGUUUCGGAACACGGCCGGGCCACAGAAGUAUCAGGCGGUUGCCCUUCGGUCGGGAUCAGACCACUCGGUCUUCUAUCGGUGUAGCUUCGAGGGCUACCAGGACACCCUCUACGUCUACUCGCAGCGUCAGUUCUACCGCAACUGCGACAUCUACGGUACGAUCGACUUCAUCUUCGGCGACGCUGCAGUCGUCUUUCAAAGCUGCAACAUAUUCGUGCGAAAGCCGCUUGCAAACCAGGAGAACACCGUGACGGCCCAAGGACGGUCCGACCCGAACGAGAACACGGGGAUAUCCAUCUACGGCUCUGUGAUCACGGCGGCGUCGGACCUCAAGCCGGUGCAGGGCGCAUUCAAGACGUACUUGGGCCGGCCAUGGCGCGAAUACUCGAGAACGGUGGUGAUGAAGACGUCGCUUGAUAGCCUGAUCGAUCCAGCGGGGUGGCUCGAGUGGAGCGGGAGCUUCGCGCUGAGGACGUUGUACUACGGAGAGUACAUGAACAGCGGGCCGGGAGCGGGCACGGCCAGGCGGGUGAAAUGGCCAGGGUACCACGUCAUAACGAGUGCGGCGGUGGCCGGGGAAUUCACUGCCGGGAGGUUCCUGAAUGGGGAUUCGUGGAUUCCAGCGACCGGUGUUCCCUAUACUUCCGGUCUCUAAGAUGAUCUUAGCUAUACAUGUCUUUUUUUUUUUUCUUUCUUUUGUUGUUUGGGUCUCUUCUGGGUUUGUUCAUUAGUAGAAAAGUUAUAGUAAGCUGAUGGAUAGACACGUACGUGAAUCGUAUAAGAUGUGAAGUGAUAGUUGCAUCUCUGUCGAUCGAGAUAGGGCUGGUGCGUUGGAUGAUGUGUUUCUGAUUAAUUUACAACAAUGUCAAAUGUGUACUUUAUAAUGUUGAAAAUAGUUAUAGCUGUGCAUCGGAUUGAUUAUUUCCUCUAUUGACUACACGUAAAGCUUGUUUCUCUCUCUUUCUCUCCCCUCUAUGUACACAGGUAAACAUAUUUUUCAAAGAGCCAAAGGACGAUAAAUCGAAAGAGAAGAAAAUUUACUAAUUAUCAAAAUUUUUAAGAAUAAAUAUACGGAUUCCUAUCGAUCUUAGUGGAGUGAAUGAAACUUUUGACAACAAAAAAUGUUCUCCCUCAAUAUAUACUUCAAUGAAAAAUGCUACUUGUACAUUCCAUCCAGAGUGUUUAAGUUUCAUUCUGUCCAUCCAAUAGGUGAGAUAUUAAUUAUCAGUCACAUCAAGUGAUUUGAUGAAAAUACCUCACUUAUUGGAUGGGUGAAAUAUAAGAUAUACCUCCCAAAUGAAGCGUAUAUGUAGUAUUGAUCUUAUAAGAUAUUUAGAAUUUAGUAAUGAUUUGAUAAAAUAGUAAUAAUCCAGGGGUGAAACUAGUAGAUGCCUAAAGUUUAGUGGGGUUGGUAAAAUAGUAAAAAUACAAGAAAAAAAAAUUUAAUGAUAAAUACUAUUUAUAUAAUAUCAAUAGUAUACUGUGUGAACUAUAUAUAUGUAUGUAUAUAUUGAGUUCGGCUACUAUACUCUUAUGAGUACGAUCGUAUUCGUAUUUAUAAGUUGUUUUCGAUGAUAAAACUUUUAAAUCGACGAUCCACACUGUUAAAAAUUAUCUAGAGCAUUUAAAAUUCUAGAAAUCAAAUUUUAUAAUCUUUCGAUAUUAUUUACCUUACGAUCAAAAUCUCACAAAAUUGAUAAUUUUUAACGACCAGUAUGUGAUACUUGCUAGUUUAACGGUGUAAAAGAAUCAGAAUAGCUUGAAUUUUUUAUAGAAAAUUCUAUUCAUUAUCUAGAUAAAGAUCAAUAACCCCGAUCUUAAAUUGAAGGAUCCGAUCAUUCAUUUUUAGAACGUCGUUCGAUUUUAACUGUUCAUUUUAUAUCUGCUUGAUAGACUUUAUAAUGAUUUCGAGAAAUUACGAAAUUUAUUUUCUAAAAGUUUCGAAUACUCUAGAUCAUAUUUAACUGUCUGGAUUGUCGAUUCGGAAGUCCCAAUAUCGAAAACAACUUAUGAGUACGAAGGGCUCUAUACUCAGAAGAGUAUAGUAGCCCUACUCGUAUAUAUCAUCCAAAUGAGACAAGAAUUAGCUGCUUGCCUUAGUAUUUGUAAUCAAUCAACUAAAUGGAGAUUAGAAAAGUUAUAUAAUUCAAAAAAGAAAAUGGUAAAAGGUUCGAGGUUGCUCUCCUGGCGAGCAAUAUUUAAGCUCAAUAUGCGGCCUCUGUUUUCAUUCGGUGGCGAACACUGGACAGUUAACUAGUUAAGUAGUACCUCGCGUACGUAGUACGGUUAAAAUAAGUCCAGCAGAGUACAUCACAUCCAAAAUUUACACAGGAAUAAUGCUCUCUCCGCAGCCAUCUUUUUCUCUUUUCUUUUUUAGAAAAGAUAGCGCGCUUUCCGUUUUAUUUAUUAAGCAAAAUAAAUUAGACUUACAUCGCGGAAUGAGUCAGGGAAAAUCACGUUAGGAAAAAAAAAAUAAAAUAAAGUGAAUAAAAGGAAAACAGAGAGAGAGAAAGAGAGAGAGAGAGAGAGAGAGAGAGAGAGGAGGCACACAAGUUCGAAUCGAGAGAGAGAGAGAGAGAGAGAGAGAGAGAGAGAGAGAGGAGGCACACAAGUUCGAAGUUAGUCGAGUUUACUCCAGGUAGCCAAAAGAAGUUGCACACGUUCCAGUGAUUGGAAAGGAUUGGGAGAUUUCGCUAGAAAGAUAAAGUUAUUCUUUUUAGUUGGCCAGCUGACCACCUACCAACUAACAGACAAAAGAGUUAACCCUUUUUUCCUAAUGGGCAGCCACCUUUUACGAUCCGAUUCAUUUAGGCCCGUUUGGUUGGCGGUAUAAGUGGGGAUAACGAAAGUUAUCUCCGCUAUUCCGCCAAACAAAAUAAUUUUUGGCCGAAAUAUUUUAUCCAGGUUAAAUUUUACUAUUCCCAGCUAUUCUGGAAUAGCUUGUUAUUUACUGUUCCACCAUUUCGGUGGAAUAGUGCUAUUCCAAUUUUUAAUUUCAAACUUUAUUAAAAUUAUAAAUUAAAUUAAAAUAAAUUAUAUAAAUAUAAUAUGUUAUAUAUUAUAAUAUAUUAUUUUUAUUAUAAAAUUAUUAAUUGUACUAUAUUAAUACAUAUUAUUUAUAUUUAAAUUAUAUUUAAGUAGAAUUUGUAAUAACUUAUUUUUUGUAAAAGCUUAUUUUUAUAAUAAAUUUUUUUUAUUAAAUUUAAGUUUAAGUAGAAUUUUAAAAAAAUUUAUAAAUUUAUUAUAAUAAAUUAUUUUUAUUAAUUGUUCCCGCCCUUAGUAGUAUUUUAAAAUUUUAAAAAUUAAAAAUUUAAAUUUUUAAAAUUUACAAUUUAUAAUCUCAAAAUUAAAGUUUAUAAUUUUAAAUUUUAAAUUUAAAUUUUGAUAUUUUAAAUUUUUAAAAUUUAAAAUUUGAUAUUUUAAAUUUUUCAAAUUUAAAUUUGAUCUUAAAUUUAAAGUUUGAAAUUUAAAAUUUAAAAAUUUGAAUUUAAAAUUUGAGAUUUUAAAUUUCAAAUUUCUCAAAUUUUAAAAUUUUAACUUUAAAAAUAUAAAUUUAAAAUUUUAAAAAUUCAAAUUCAAAUAGAAUAAGAGGAUAAUAUCAUUACUUUUUAUUUAGAAAACUCACUAUCCUUCUUAUUCCAUUUUACCUAACCAAACACUAUUUAUUUUAUUUUCAGGAAUGACCCAAUUUUCAUCCAAACGCAAAAUUGAUCUAAUCCCGCUUAUACCUCAAUUUAUACCUAUCCCUGGAACAGCCACUUUUUGCUUAUCCCCGAACCAAACGAUACCUAGAGGAUUACUAUCAUCCUAAUCCUAUAAUUUUUUAUUUAAGGGUUAAAAACUCGAUAGUAAAAGAGCCCAAAUACUAUUAAUAAUAUUAUAGCCCAAUUUUAUAUAUAUAUAUAUAUAUAUAUAUAUAUAUAUAUAUAUAUAUANAUAUCCUUUAAUUCUUAUUACAUCUUACCUGAUGAAACGUUUUUUUUUUUUUAUUCCUAGGAAUAACCUAAUUUUUAUCCAAACAUAAAAUUAAUUUAAUCUCCGCUUAUACCUUAAUUUAUAUUUAUUUAUGAAAUAGUUACUUUUUGCUUAUCCCCGAGCAACACGAUACCUCAGGAUAUGAUAUGAUCAGUAUUAAAUGGUACGUAAAAGUCAAGGUUGUGGGCUGUUAAGAGGCCGGGGGUAGGACGCAAAAGUGGUUUCUUUUGGUACUCAACUACUUACUGUUGCCAUGCAUGAAGGACUACUUCGUAGUUCGUACGUACGUGGAGUAUGUAUUUUCCAUAUAUAGCCUCUGAAUCGUCCACGUUGUAGUUGGAUAAGUGGCGGCAAGCUUCAGCAAUAACUAAAGAGUGGGAAUUUAGCUUCGUAGAUAAGGAUUAGUGACGUAGCAGCAGGCAUUAAUGAUGUUGGUAGCGAAACUGAGACUGGGAUUGCUUGAUGUAGAAACAAAGUACGUGCGUGCGUGUAACAGAGGGAAAGGAGUCAAUCCUGAAUAAUAUAUUAAAUUAAUAUAUGCAAACUUGCUAAGUCCGGAGUUGGACGGCGCAGAUUUUCUUAACUCAUAAUUCUCAUUGCUUAAAGUAGAGCAGUACUAAUAUAUCAGAAGAAGAAAAUGUAUUGUAUCUCGAGUAGUUAAAGAAUUUUCUAUAUAUAUUAUUAUCAUUGAUAUGUUGGGAUGAGAAUAAACCGAAUAAAACUAUAUAGCAAAGAUUAAAAAAAAAAUUAUGAAUCCCUGCAGCAGUACGAACUUGACAUAUUUAAUUAUUGGUCAGUUGCGUGGAAAGAAGAGACCUAAGCUUAAUCCAAAAAACCGUACCACUGGAUGUGAAUGGAUGGGUGUGUUCGGAGGACGCGGCAUUACUUGGUUAGUUUGCCAGCUUUGCUAAUGGACAAUAUACAUGUGGCUGCGUACAAGCUAUAUAGUCUACAUUCACUAUAAAAAAAUUAAUAUUUUUUUUUAUUUUUAACGAUAUUAAAAAGCAUUCUAAUAUAGAAUAUAUUUUUAUAUUAAACAAUAUUUAAGAACAUUCUAAUAUAAUUUAACGUCAUAUUUAAAAACAUCAGUUAAAAUAUCGGCAAAUAAUUAAAAAAUUGCUGCGGAUAUAUCAACAUUUAUGCCAAAUACUUUACAUAAAGUGUCAAAAUUUUUAAAAUCUUGAGGCUUAAAGUAUCAAAAAUUUAAAAAUAUAAUACUUAUUUAACAAAUUUGUUUCAUACAAAAUAUAGGGGGUUCAUAUAACAACGCUUCUUGAAACACCAAUAUUUGUUAUAUUGUAGGAAAGUUUGAAGAUUUUUUUUCCAAGCAUCGUCUAAAAAAUAUAUUUAUGUUUGGAUAAAGGAUAUUUAUAUUUAGAUUUUCUUGUAGUGAUUAUACGGUCGGAGAUAGGGGUGGCGAAAACAAAAUCUCUGUCGUUCGGAGAAAUUCUGAUCCAAACUGAUUAAAAAACGCAACCGAUUUUUUAAUUCCUUUUCAACCUAAAAUUGAACGCGUCGGAUACGUUGACAGUAAUAAAGUAAAAUGACUAGGAUAAAUGCUAGAUUAGAUGGUUCCAUUUGAAUAGUGUUUAAGAUUAUAUAUCAGUACUUUCCAACAGUUGCGAUCAUAAACAAAAGAUUCAGACCUCAAGCUCAUAUACUUUGGGCACAUAAUCCACUGAAAUUCCUAGAAUCUCGAUAUGCAAUUCGUAAAACUUGUUUGUCAAGAUAUCUUGAGAUACUACUGCCAUUGGAUGCAAGAGGUUUCGUCACCGAUUUCUUUCCAGUCUAUCUCAACCGUUAGUUUUCACAUCUACAGACAGCAAUGAUUGAUCCUGCCUUAUAUGGACGGUGACAUCAACUGGAGUGCAGAAAAUCUCCACCGACAUUACCGUACCAAAAAGAGGCUAAACAACGCUGAGAAUUAAGCAACCUUUGACCUUCGCAAUAGAGUACAUAAUUUACGGACAAUGCUUACCAACAGAUCACAAUGAGCGAGUAUGGAACAGUCGUUACGGAGUUACAUUGGAGAAAAUUGAGAUGGUGAUCAGAACAUCUCAAGCAUUCUCUAGUUGGCCCCUAAUCGACUCAAGAAAUUGGGUAGGGCUACUGCUUGUUUCAAUACUUACACAAAAGUGAAAAUACAAAGCUUUCUUAGAUGGCAAAAUGGUGAAUAACUAUCAUGAUUUAACAAAACCCUUUGAGAGCUACAACUCCUCUACCUGGAUGGAGAAUCCACAUGGGCACCUCUUUGUUCGCACAAAUAGCUCUUCGUCAAAGCUUUGAUUCUCUAAGGGAAAUACAUGCUCGUGAUCGUGAGGAGACGUCAAAACUGGCUUUGCCUCUCGUACUGAUCUUUCCUGUUGUCGGCUCGAUCGAACACCUUGUUCGGAAUGACUCUUCUCGCAAUCGGUUCGAUGAAUAUUCUCUUGGCCAUGCAAAGAUUUGGGAUUCACAUAUGAAUUCUUCAACCGUUGUCUUGUUACGAUGGAUGAAAGCAGCUGAAACCACCUUGAAAGAGCCUGUGUUUCAUUUCGUUUCCUCUCUUCAGCUACUCUUCUUUCUUCUUCUUCUGCAUAAACCUAGGAAAGAAAGAAAGGACAAAAAAAGAAAAUCACAAGUUCAAACUUCACAGACAGAUUAUUCAUCCAGAAUGACCAAAGGACAGCAUUUCAUACAACUAAAAUAGUAGUGUAGAAACCUUCAUUCCUAGUUUCAACUUUUACCUCCAAGAUUGCAUCUUUGAACUCUCUGCAGACCACAAUUCCCUCGAACAUCGGAAAAGAACGGCCAUUGCGAAAUUCAAAUCCAACCAUGGCUGGUGCAUAAUCAAUUUCAAGCCUCUUCACAACUGGAACUAGUCUGGGUAACCUCAAGUGUACUGUACCAGGUGGUAGACACUUUUCAGACCAUACUUCAACUUGACCACGCUCAUUCUAGAAAUAAUAUACAGAAGUCAGCAAAGAGUUACUAUUAUGAAGAAGCAGGAAACCAUUACAAAAAUAAGAUGAGGGUAACAGAUGAUGUAGCCGUUGAUUCCAUCCUUCUCAGUUUCUUAGCACUUUUGCUUUUCAUUUAAUAAGAUAUAUCUAUUGAGCGACAAUAGAGAGAACUCCCAAUGUAUAUACAUAUCUGUCAGAAAUUUGCCACAAAUACAAUAUUCAAGUAGCUUUACAUGGAGGAUGCUUUAAACAGAACAUAUAAAAUAUCGUACCUUAGGCACAAUGCCAUUUACAGCACGAGGCAGUUUUAAUGGUUCCAGCUGCCACUUCCCAUAGAGUUCUACGCUUGGUUCGCCUUUAUCUUCUUCAAAAACACCAGGUUCGGAUAACUGGAUAUUAAAAUUCUUGGUUGAACGUUUCAUUAUCUGAGGAGAAAUGCAUAAAUCAUCAUCAUACAGAAGACUUUUCAAGUAAUUUAAUUAAACAUUAAAAUGCCAGACCUUUGCAGGUUCCUCACUUUCUCUAACUUGCAAGCCUUCUCGUAACCACUUUUGUCUUGUUUGUAGUGUCUGAACACAAGAUCGAGGAUAAACAGGAUGCCCGGAACAAUAACCAAGUACAGGACCUUUUGGAUGAAGAAUUUGAUUCUUGGUAAGCCAUCUUUCAAUUGCGUACAGAUGAUGAUUUCUAUAUGCCUAAAUUGAACAAAAUCAACACCAAAAUAUGUAAAAUUAGUUGUAUUAAAAUAUAUUAUAUUUACAAGGAAAGUCAACAAGGUAAAAUAUGUUAUACUAAAGUCUGUUACUGUAAUACCAAUUGAUUGGUAGGAAGAGGCUCAGUUAGAGCCCUGGUUUCAAGUUCCAUAUCUUCUUGAUAAUUUCGACAUGAGAUCCCAUGGUUGUGAGAUGGACAUACUGACUUGAUAAGCCGCUCAGAUGAUUCUGCACCAAAUUCACUAGCCAAUUUGACACUUUGUGCACAAUCUUUAGUAUUGUUAGGGUCUUCAGAAUCCAUUAUAGGAGGACAGGGCGCUACAGAUACCUUUUCCUCUACAGUCGAUGGAAGUUUUUCUUGAAAUGCUUCUAAAUGAACCAUUGCACUGGUUGCACUUGAUUCCAACUCUUUCAACGGUGCCAACACCCUAUCCCACCAUUGUGGAUUUACCCUCUUUGGAGCAAUCUUAUACCACUGCAUGCAAUACCUAGAAAUUUUGGAAAGUAAAACUCUACUGAUCAUGAAAAAGCAUUUUGUUUUAACAUAUUAAUACCAUCUUUUGUGUUGGAAAAUGUGACAUAGGAAACAGAAUCAAUCAGACAACAUUCUAAUGAAGUGAUAUCAAGUUCUAAACUAACUAUUUGUAAAAACAAAAUUGACGUGAUACCGAUCCAUAUCAGUAAUGUAUGCUGUAACAUGUGAAGAAGUAGAAAUUGAAAUGUAGUGAAAUUCUAAUCAGGCCAUGCUUUCUCAUGUAACCACUAUAACUCUGAUAACACCAUGUCUCUCUGUUCAAUUCAUCCCAUCACCUAACAAUAUUCAAUCAAACUCUAUAAUCAUAGUCACCUACAAAAAGAUUGUCAGAUCUCUGAGGAUCAACUUUAGAAACACUUCAUACUAUGGUCUGGAUACCAUAAUAAUCUGUACUCGAGUGGUGUAGACUCGUAGAUUUAACAUUCAUUAGUGGAAUAGAUAGCAAAAAAGUUCGCAAAUAAGUAUAUUGUAGAUAAUUAAUGAAAAAAUUGUAAAAUUUUUAUUUUAGGUUUUCAAUUUGUAACUACGUCAAUUCGGCGUAUAUGCUAAUCUACGAAAAUUUUCCCGUACAAAACAUGAAUAAAGCAUUAAACAUCAGUAAAUAAAAGGACAAACCUGCGUGUCACAUCUUUAGCACCCUGUCCAGCAAAAGCAACAACAUAUUUUAAAGGCUUUCUGCAAGCAGCAGAAGCAGCUUCUACUUUGUCCUCACCGUCAAUAAUACCAUUUACAGCAUCAACAUGCACCCAUCUUCCAGUUAAUGUCUCCCCAUUACAAUAGACCUCCGCCCAGUAUAAAGGAGGACCUGCUCUUCUCGACCAAACUGCAUUCGAGCUACUGUAUUUCAAAGGUUCUCCAUCUUUACAUUGCUUCAAUCUCUUCAAUGGCGGAGUUAGAGAGUGUAAGCUGUUAUUCGAAUCAUCUAUCUUUAAACCUUGUUUAUUAUCUCGUGUUGCUGUCGCUGCAGUGGCUGAGAGAGCCAUUUCCAUCUGCAACUCAAACUCUAGGUCCCCCCUUUUUUUUGGUCCUUCAGAACAUUUUGACUCAGAAGCACAGCUUCCAUCUUGUAAAUUAUCGCCUGUUAAACCUUUAAGCAAAUUCUUCUUGCAGAUUGGCGUGCCCUCCUUUUUGCCACACUUGUCUCUUAGCAAAGCCCCAGUAGUUGUAUCAUUUAUUGGAUCACCCGGAUUAGGAACAGGAGAUAGAGUACCAACCAGAUUAGUGCUGUUCAUAGUGGCAAGAGAAGAAGAUACUCUUGUGUCUAGUCUAAGAACAUCUAGAUCCGAGAUUCCAGAUAGAUCUGAAUCUGGCUUGAGGGAAGCCACAUCAAGGAUGGAAACAAACCUAGAAAUCAAGAUAAGCUAAGACUAUUAUGAUUUACAACCAGGAAAGGAAAAAGACACAAACAAAACAAAAGGAUAAAAAAAUCAUAAUAUAUUUCUCAUUCUGGACUAAAGAACAAGCCUCCAUACCUUGUUGUCAAAUUGAGGGCCCUAAGUAACGCCACUGAGAGUGCAGCAACCUGUAUUACAAAUAUUUAACUGCAAUCAUAUUAACAUGCCCAGCUUCUAAAAGAGACGAUCAUAAGCAAUCAAAUAAAGAGAAAAUAGAGAGAACAUUUAUCAAAAGUUAAGCCUAAUGAAUUAAUUUGACGAAUUGCUUAAAGAGCAACUCAUACUAUUGCAUAUAAAACAUGUAUGAAAAACAACAGGGACGAAAACAGGUAGAAUUACAUUCACAUUUGCCAUGCAUCCAAAAAAUGCUAGAUAAGUAUCCUAUCUAUAAACUUAAAUGUCCAUCUAGUUAUUUAGCUAAAUAAAUGAAAACUCUUAAGCACCAAAAAAAUUGCAAAAACCAGUAAAUAAGAUGUAACAUACCUCUUCAGUAGUCCCUUCAUGAGUUUGAAGAGCAAAGACAAGGUUGGAUUCAAAUGAUCCCCUAUCAACACUUUGUGUUGAUAUAUGGAAAUUGCUACGAAACUGCAGAAAGAAGCAUAUACUAGUUAUAAAAGGAAAGAAAGACUUGAACAUGGAAAGAGUGUCUUAAUGUAUAGCAUUUCAAACGCAUUAGAUACCCAAUUUACAAGAGAGCCAAGCUUAUUAGCUGUCAAUUUUGGAACUUCCGCAAUCUUCAGUAAGUUAGAUGGUAGAAGAGAAAGUAUGGAUGCCUGCAGAGAAAUGGAAGCUUUAAAAAGUUUGAAUAAACUGAUCUUUUUAUGAGACAGUGAACAAGAUAGUACAUAAUAAUAACUGGAGUUAAAUUCAGCAUGUCAUAGACAUGAAGGUGUAGAAGUUCAUCAGUCUUGCUACUAAUAAUAAUAAUAAACUCAGGUUUGAUCGCAUUGUGGUCCCCCAAGAUUCAUAAAGGAGGUCCGACAAAUUUCCCUCUACAUCUUCCUAUUAGUACAACCUGCUUAAUAUUGUUCAAAAUAGAUUUAGCAUCUAUUGAUUAAUGAACCAUCUAGUUAUCAAAACAAGCCAAUGCACAGGAUAUAAAAGCUACGGAGACUGCAAGAUCCAUUUUAAAAAAAGAAACUGAUUAUCAAAUAAUCAAUUGGUUGAGGAGCAGUGAUUCUACAAAAUAAACAUUAUGAGAAUCAUAAAAGAGAGAUGAUCGAUUGGACUUCACCAUGUAUUAAUGUAAAUGCACCUGAAUGAGAGGGUCAUCACAAGCCUUGUCGACUACCCUACCCCGUGCAAGCAGACACAACAAAUGAACUUUGUGCACUAGCUCUGCUAGCUCCUGAAAAUAUCGCGAACCAAGUUAAUCUGGCACAUUUGUUGGGCGAAGCAAUCAUCCCACCAUAUUCUUAGGUAAAGCAAUGCCAGCUUCAGUAACUUACCUUUUCUUCAGCAGAAACCCUUCGGUUGAUCUUCCUCUCAGCAGGAGAUGGCAAGCCAGUAAAUUCAACAAUCACAUCCUUUCCAAGAUCAUGCGAGAAACCUUCUCUGCAGUCUGAAGUAGAAACAAUACCCUCCUCCCAGUCCAUCUCACUUGCAUCAAAAUGACCACUUGCCGCCUCUUCUCUUCCCGUCAGCGUACUUUCCUUUGUAUUUCUCAUACCACAUCCUUUCACAGAGACAUCGCGACUAACCACUGCCUUAGCUUUUCCUUUGCGAUUGUUUUUGAGUGACUCAUCUACCUUAAACAGAAUAACACAAAAGUUACUAAAAAAUGUAUCAACUUUUGUCAAUAUUCCUUACGCCCUCGUGCCCAUUACAUAUUUCACAGUUCGCCAAAAGUUUGAAAGGGUUCUUUUUCACUCUCUUCAGAUCAUUGCAGACUCCAAGAACCACCAUAAAGAGCACCACGGAGUAAACAAUUAUAGACACAAAUAUCACAAUAGCUAAAGAAAUUGAUAUGUGCUUAUACACAUCAACUUCACUUCCAAAACCUAAUAUUUCUCACCUCAAGAACAAAUAGAUGGCAUCAAGAAUUAGGAAAAUUAUCAACUGCAAGUGCUGUAAAUCAGCUGAUAUUUCAUCUAAACGACGCUAACACAUCAAAGAUUACACCUUUUCUCGUAAAAGAAAAUAAAAGAAAAAGGUAACCUUGUUUUCAGAGUCGGCGUUCUCCAUUAACGAAUCAAUUUCUCGCCACCGUUUCGCGCCCGACUCUUCACGCGCGGUUCCCCGUUUCGCGACCCUAUCCACACUCUCUUCCGACAUUGCUUCAAGAACACAUAGAACCCAAAAAAAAAACCUCAAAAAUUGUUGGGGNCGGGAAAUUAGAACCAAUUUCUAUUUUUUUUUCCUCUUUUUUUCUGCGGAAUUAAAAGAGAGUGACAGAGAGUUAGGGUUCUAAUUGAGUACUCACCGGAUAGAUUUUGUGGAGAUCGUUUGGAUUGGUUCCUCGUUCGCAUGGCGUUUUCUCUCACGCUCGAACGGGGAAGAGAGAAAGAGGAGGGAAAAGUGGGGAGAACCCUCGGAUGUUCGGUGAUGGUUUGGUUCGGGCGAUGCAACCGUAACGGAGCACAAGGGCACGUUUGGUGAAUUACUAACAUAAUCUAACCGAGCGGUGCAGUCGCCGACGCGUCAGCGCGAACGUUCGGUCGUGAUUUAUCUUGGGGGCGCAUCUGACGGUUGUAACUUGUAAGUGGUGGCGAGGAAUUAGAGUUUCCGUGUAGGUCACUACAGCAUGUUUAGUUCAUAUAUAAGUUAAAACUUUGGUGCAAGCACAUUACCGCUUGAGAUUUAGGCAACAAUUUGGUUGUUUCCUUGGUGCACUUGUGAGUUCAUGAGAUCGAUUGUAUGCGUGCAUAUUGGUCUGAGUGAAAUGUGGAUUUCGACGGCAUAAUCUAACGAACGAUAGUUCCCAGUGCGGUGGAUCGUGCACUUCGGCUUAUGAGCUUAAGAAAACCAAACACCAAACACGCGGUAACUCGAUUUCUUUCUUGUUCUUUGUUUCAUCACAUUUGCUCGGUUUACACCAAACCUCUGCUUGUGGUCGGCCCACCGUAAACCAACUUCUCGUAUUGAUGGAAGUCGCAGCAUCGCCCAACCAUCCCCGAUGUUGACUUCGCCAAAUUCGUGGGUUCCAAAGGGCUACACUUGGGACAAUCCAAGCCGCUACUUAUCUUCUUUGUCAAUUAAAACGCGGAGAUCUAAAUCAUUUAUUUACUCUCCCAUUUUAUUCUGGGCCCCUCUUAUCCGCAUUGAAAGAUGCUGCACUGCGAUGGGGAAGAUGCAGCUACUUAAUAGUGCUUCCACCGAGCCCACCUCAUUAUCUUCAGUACUACCACAAAAUAAAAAUCUUCGAGACCGAUCAUGUCACCGUAGAAAAGCUACGACAGAUGCGUUGAGCACGACACGCGACCGAGAGCCAAUGAAAUUUAGAGAUCAGAAAAUUUCAUUAAUUUUUGUAUUGGUUCUGGUUCUACUUAGAUUUCUUUUAUCGGUGGCGGUCGAUUCUUGCGAGGUUGACUUGUGUGGGCCCAUGUGUCAGUUUUUGUAGUGAACUACGACCAUUGGAUGGAAGAUUGUUUUUUUUUUUUUAAUAUACAUAUUCUGCACGGACCAUGGUCCCACAUCUUAUAAACUCAAGUAUGGUAGAAUUUUUACAUCAUAUUUCAAAAAUAUAUAUAUUAUAAUUUUUUACAAGUAAGAAUAAUAGUCGGAUUUAAUGUUAUUGAUUUUCGUACUACUCUGAUCCCUUCUAAAAGCUAAUAUUGUUAAUUUCAAAGCUCAAAAUACUAAAAAACGAACAAUCAUCAAUUUACUCACAGCUUUUAGUGUAGCUUGGUGGACCAUGUUCAUGCAUUAAUUUUUUAGGCCCGCUGCCAGAGUGCCCAUGCGUCUCUUCCCGCAAAUAUCUAUUUUAAGAGGAGCCGCGUGCUUUGUGUGGGAGAUCUGAGAGAGAUACUUUUAUUUUAGAGAGAGAGAGAGAGAGAGAGAGAGAGAGAGAGGUGGGGGGUAAAGAAGAAGAAGAAGAAGAUGGAUCCGGCGUUGGGGUGGGCUGCGAGAGACGCUUCCGGUGUUCUCUCUCCCUUUUCUUUUUCAAGAAGGUUCCCUGAUCCUCUCUCUCUCUCUCUCUCUCUCUCUCUCUCUCUCUCGAUCUUGAUCUGUUUUAGAUGGCUUGAGAUGAACAGGUUUCUUCCUGAAAGAAGAGCACCUGAACCCUUUUUCUUUCUCUGCUUUGUCUCGUUUCCUUUUCUUCUUUUUUUUUUUCUGUUUGAUGAUUCUAAGCUGAUCCAGAGGAAAAGAGUGUUGUUGCCAAUUGAGCGCUUGAUUACGUGAAGUGUUUCAUUCUUUUAUCUGUGACACAAACUCAUAAAUCACAUCCAAGGAGUUGCGCUGAUCUUCUGAUUGUUAUGUAGGCCCGGAGGGGAGGAUGAUGUUACUAUAAAGAUACUCUAUUGCGGGAUAUGCCACACCGAUCUUCACAUCAUUAAGAAUGACUGGGGGAAUGCCGCAUACCCUGUCGUCCCUGGGUACGCACGCAAAUGCUUUUAACUCUCUCUAUCUCUGUAUCGUUCGAUCGCUUGGCAUGUAUUCGUGUUGUUAGCCUUUCCCCUUCGUAUUAAUCAUUUUUCAAUCCUUAAAAAUAGUUAGAUCCGGUGAAACGGUCACGGUUAACUUCAUUAAACUAAGCAUUCGGCAUUGUUCGAGCACUUGGAACAUCUCAGGCUCAAAUGAUUGGCCGAUUUGCAAAGUCAAAGCACAAGAAGCUCAAGAUGUGAAAGCCCACAUCCAUAAGAGCGCGGCAAUUCGAGUAGGUGAUAGGAAAAGAGCUAGUCAGUGACCAAAAUUUAAUGAUAAGGAAAGAUCAAAGAACAAUUUUGUUUAGCACUGGACGAGCUUAAAAUAGCUUGCGUGAUGAAAACGGAUUCCUAUGAUGGAUUUGACGCAGUUCCUUUUAGGAUAAUAGAAUCUAGUGUUGAAUAAAGAUUGAGUUCAUGAGUUGAUUGAGUUGUUUCUUAGUCUAAAUUAUACUCAUUUUAGGUUUAAGUAUGAUUAGUAAGUUGUUACAAAUAGCCUUACUAGUUCAAUAAUGUUUACAUGGUUUCGAUGAUACUUCAAGUUCAAGAGACUCUUGUGGAGUGCCUCUGAUUCUUGAAGCUCAUUAUGGGUUUACAAUAUCAAGAGGAAUGUGUUGUUAUAAGGUGCCAUUGAGGAUAAAUGGAUCCAUUAUUAUCCACUAGAGGGGUGAAUGUCUCUGUGAACUAUGCUAGUAAACAGGGACUUUGUCAUAGUGUUUGCUAGUUUGAGUAUUUCUUGCUGUUGAAUUGAACCUUAUACAUGAUAUAUUUGUACAUCUAGAGAGAGUAAUACUUUGUGCACAGCAUUCUACGUGCGCGUGGUCUAUUGCUUUGUGAACUAGAAGACUAUGGGCAGUCGAAAGGGUCGGCGAGCCCACACCCCCAUUUUCACUUAUCAAAGCACCCAAUUUUUCUAUACUAACGUAGAAUAUUGUGGGUAUAGUAUAAUUAGAGAGACUUGGUGAGACGUGAGAGUCAAGUACCCAGAAUAAAGGCCUCUUAAUGCUAGUACAAUUGGUCGGGACAUUCACCCCUCUAGUGGGUAAUCACGAGUUCAUCUUUUAGUUACAUUUUGUGUUUCUUUACAGUACAAAUAUUAGAUGUAAACUGUAUUUCAGAGUGGAUGAGAAACCGAAAACCUCAUGAUAGUAAGAUACUAGAAUGACAUGGCUUAGCGAAAAUCCUGCGAGUUUCUUGUUGCUGCUACUGAAAGAUUAAGUUGCUACCAUUUCCCUGUUUACUUCCUAUUUGAGAUGAAUAGUACCAAAUAUUCAAAUGUGAGUGAAACUGAUGGCAGCAGCAAGAGCUUUGCUAUCCAAAACAAGAAAAUGCUUUCACUUGAAAAAAAAAAAGAAAAAAUCACUUGAUCUUGGUUUCUUCUUUUUCUGAGAUGUGCUUCUUAUUCACCUCGCUUUCUUUGUUGCAGGCACGAGAUAGUGGGGAUCGUGACUGGUGUGGGAUCCAAUGUAGACAAGUUUAAAGUUGGGGAGAAGGUUGGCGUGGGCUACAUGGUCGACUCAUGCCUUUCGUGUGACAGUUGCGAGCAGGAUUACGAAAACUAUUGCGACAAGGUCGUAAACACAUCAAAUGGCAUCUUCAGCGACGGUACAAAAACUUAUGGUGGAUUCUCUGAUGCAAUUGUUGUAAAAGAGCGUUUCGUGGUUCACAUACCAGAGAGCUUGCCUCUGGACAAGACUGCGCCGUUACUCUGUGCCGGGGUCACCGUAUACAGCCCGAUGAAGUAUUUUGGGCUCAACGAGUCAGGUAAGCAUUUAGGGGUGGUCGGUCUCGGCGGGCUUGGGCAUUUGGCUGUAAAGUUUGGCAAGGCCUUCGGGAUGAAAGUUACGGUGAUAAGCGGCUCGCCUAGCAAGGAGAAAGAAGCAAUUGAGCACUUGGGAGCUGAUUCAUUCUUGGUUAGCCGCAACCCUGAGCAAAUGCAGGUAAAGAAAGAAAGAUGAUUGAAUUUUUGUUCUACAUUCCAGUGCGAUUUUUGACAUGCUAAAGACCCUCUUAGGCUGCGAGAAGCACCAUGGAUGGUAUCAUCAAUACCGUCUCUGCCUUCCACCCAAUUUUGCCCUUGAUCUCCCUGCUGAAGGUACACGGAAAGAUGAUAAUGUUGGGUGGUCCAAAUAAGCCAUUGGAACUCUAUUCUUAUUCUCUAAUCCAAGGCAAGUACCAGACUCAUACCCUUUUGGUGUUUAUUUAGGAUCAGAGUUUGCAAAUAGUGAUAGAUAUAAAUCUUUGCUAGGUGGGAAGAUGGUGGCUGGGAGCUGCAUUGGAGGAAUGAAAGAUACUCAAGAAAUGAUUGAGUUUGCUGGGAAGCAUAACAUAACUGCAGAGGCGGAGGUUGUCGGAAUGGAAUACGUGAACACCGCGAUGGACCGACUUGCCGCUGGCGAUGUGAGAUAUCGAUUCGUAAUCGAUGUGGCGAACACUUUGGUUGCAACUUAACCAGUUGGAGUAGAGGAAUUUUAACUGGUAGAUGAGAUUAUGUCACGGACAUUGGACGCCGUUGACCAAUAAUGAUCAGUUGGAACACUGAGGUGCUUGAAUAAAUCAGUUACAGAAAUUUCAACCCUCUUCUUUCCCCUACUUUUUCUUUUAUGAGAGAGAAAACCUCAGCACUAGACUUUCUUCUGCAUAGGCCCAAUUGUCUAAAUUUAGCGAGUCAUAUACCUGAAAGUAGAGAACAAUUCAAUCCUUCAUUUAGAUCAAACCUUUAUAAGCAAUAAAAUGUAUGAAUUUUACAAAAAUAACAAAUGCUGAAAAGAAAAGCCAAGCCAUAUUUGUACAGCACUAACAACAAAAACCAGAACGAAAUAUUCAUCGAUAUCUAGUAACACAAUCGAAUAGGAGAGGAUGCACAUCAGCUCACCAAGCAAAGAGAACGCAGAUUCACAACCUUUCAAGCGACUGAUCCCCGAAUAGCUUCUUGAAGGAGCUGCAACACAUUCGAGGUUCUUUUAUGUUCAUAGCAGAACUGGAACAAUAAUUAUGCAUCAGUUCCCUUGAGGAUAUUAUACUUGCAAAGGGGGCAGAUCGCAUUUAUCCGAAGCCAUUUUACAAUGCAUGUGGAAUGGAAGUGAUGGUUGCAGGGAAAUGCAUGGAUCUCUACUCCAUCUUCAUAUGGCGUAAGACAUAUGCAACAUUCCUGAAAACAGGGAUUUGAAGAAGAGAAGAGCAGUGAGUUAGAGAAAAACCAACAUAAAAGUUCUCAGCUCAUCCUGAAAAGGAACAAGGGCCACCAGGCCGCCACUUUUCAGCGAUGUGGCCACUGUGAUAAGAAUACGGUCAUUGUUGCAAGUUGAACGUCUAAGGCACAAGACACAAUCAACGUGUUGUCGUACUUGCCCAGUAAGAAUUUCCUGUUCCCUCUAGGAAUAAGAAAUAAGUUUUUGUUUCUUUCAGGCAGCAUUACGAUAUAAAUGAUAACAUGCUGAAGCAUGAAUUCAAGAAGGAAAAAAAAAAAAAAAAUUGUGCACUUAUCAAAUAGGAACUUUCACUUGUUUAAGGGAAUACAUGCAGAUAUGAAUUUCGAAGUGUUACGUCAUUAAAAAAGGUAUUAUGAAAGAAACAACCAGAAACAAAGAAAGAAGCUACUCACGGCAUCCUCACGUGGCAGAAUGCGUUGCCUCCUUGAAGUUCCAGUGCUGUCAGGAAUGGGAAUCAUCACUCCUUCAUCACUUGUCUUCUGCCCAUUCUCCGAAGGCUCGGCAUAUCUGUAUCUCGGGAGAAUGCUUAUGUCCGCAUCUGAUGCACCUUCCUAUAUUUCAAUGACAAAUAAAACCAACAAUAAGUGAUAACGACAAAGCUCCUGUAAAGUAUUUUCUCCUGGUUGACCACUGCGACUUCUUGUUCUUACCUGCCCCACCACAGCAUAAAGAAUUGCAAUAAUACAAGGCAAACAGCAGCAAAGAGCGAUUCCAAUCACGCAGGCCAAAGCCACACAAAAGAUGGCAAAGCAUACAUCGAAUGCGAGAAAAACUACAGUCAACCUGCAAAAAGCCACCAUGGAUAACAGAGACUGUUUAUGGGCAUAUCAUAGAUACUAGAUUACACAGGCUAUUAACAUACAAAAAGUUCAGUUUGAUCACAAGGUUAACGAUAAUAUGGAUCAGCAAAAUAAGUUGACAUGAUAAUAAUAUCUGAGAAACAAAUACAAUAUAAGUUACCUUGAAGUAUCUUAGUCACCUAUGGUUCAAGAAUUGAGAAAGAGUAUUAAUAGAAAAAUCAAGAAAGAGUAUUUAGCCAGUUAAGGAGUUGUGACGAUUCUCUGAACUUAGCAUAAGUAUCAAAUGCUGACAAAACAACUGAAGAGAUCUACAUUAUGCAUUGAUGUGACAAUUAGAUCCGUGAACUUGCAUUUGCAUCUAGAAUCCAAGGUCAGUCAGAGGAAAGAAGGGGUACAUCAGUCAAAUGACAAUGUUUCCACUGAAAAACUGGAGAAUAAUUGCUGGAAAAAACUCGAGAGAUUUUAGUUAUUGUAACAAGUUAGCUAACAAUUCAGUAGCUUUAAGACACUCAAACGUGAAUCUAAGAUAACUAAAAUUUAAAACAUGUUUCACAGAGGAUAAAAAAAAGAUUUUACUAAAUGAUUAAAUUAUUGUUGUCAGUCAGCAUGGCAAAAGAAAUUUAUCAUAAAAUAGUGAUGCUAUACCAGUAGAGUCUUGGAGCAUUUUGCACCAGUGCUUCACCACCAGAGACAACCCAAUAAAAACCAAUUAGCCACCACAGAAUGGAUGCCAUGGUAUUAAUAGAUUCACAUCGUUUGGAGAAACUGAACACCAAUAACCAUUAGUUACCAGAGGCAAAGAAGUUUAAAACAAAAGUAAGUUGAACUAUAACGACGUGUUUGGCAUUGUUUUCAGUCUGUCAUUAUUUACUUUGCUUACCACUAAACUUAUUCAAUAUCAAUUGCUGUUUUGACUCUGAAGAGAAAAUGGUCCAGUAUUACCAGUAGAAACUUAUAAAUAGAUUUUUUUUUUAAAAAAAAUAAGGGUGACUUUCCAAAGAAACCAUAAUUAUAAAAAUAACAAAGAGUGAAAGUCAACAUAACUUUAAACUCAAAUUCUUUUUAAAAACAUUAAAAACAGUAAACGAUGCCAAACACAACAAAUACCGCUAAAAACAUGUCAUUUCUGAGCUACCGAAAAUUUAAUGAGAUAACAUCUUUCCGUAUAAAAGAUCGAGACAUUUCAUCUUAACAUCACAAAUUAAUAUAUUUCCUGAGAUGACUCUUUCUGCUGCCGUAAUAAUUGAUAAACCAUAGUUAAGAUGUCUGCUAACAAGAGAUGACUUUCGGAUGAUCAGAUCACAUUCAUGACUAUGGCAUUUUAUAUGGUGUAAAUCUGUACUGGCUGAUUAGCUUGCAGUGUUCCAAUAAUAUGAUGGCUAUCAGCAAGCACAUGCUUGCUCAAACAUAUAAAUUUAUAGGCGCAUACAUGUGGAAUUAUCCCAACAUCUAUUCGGAAUUAUCCCAAUAUUCCUAGCAGGGAAAAAUAUAACACAGAAAUAAUCAUAACAUCAAAUUGGAAAGAACUUUACAUCUAGUUUAAAUGAAUGGAUCCUUUUUAAGCUAAACUAGCAUUUUAAAUUAAAAAAAAGAAAAACAAUCAAGAUAAUGAUGACUCUGUCAAUUCAAAACCAUAACGAAUUACAACUUGCAUACCAUGUAAUACAGCCGACAUUCUAUUCUACAGUCUAGCCAAAGUAUGAACUGCAGGUGAUUUUGUUCUCGAUGCAUGUUUGGUUCACGAAUGGAAUGAAAAUAGAAAAUAAAAUUGGAUUGCAUUGGAACGGAAAAUCGAACAACGAAUAAUCCAAAAAUGUUUGGUUCAUUAUUUGAAUGGAAAUUAGAAUAGACAAUUAGAACAACUAGGAUUUUGAGAGAGAGUUUUGGUUAAAGGAGAGGAGGGUGAUGAAGGGAGAGAUAUAUGUAAGAGAAGGUUUUAAGUGGUUUACUUUAAAAUGGGAAAAUUUAAGAUUCAAAGCCAGAAUGAGCCAUAAAUGGAUUGGACCAUUUCCAUUUCAAAGUGGAAUGAGAAUCAAAAUAUGAUUCCUGUAAAACAAACAACAACUAUAGAAAUCAGGAAAUCUCAUUUCGAUUUUAGAAUCUAAAAUAAGUGAACCAAACAUACCCUAAGUUUCCACUCCAAGAGUUAAUCAGAGUUAGCUUUUGAAAUAAAAAAGGGCUCGUUGUCUACACAAAAGGUAACCCCACACAAAUCAAAAUUCUUCUCGAUAUUAUUCAUCUAUACGUCCUCUCCGCUCUCAUGAUUUAAAUGGUCAAAAAGCACAUCAACUAACAUAGCAUUAACAAGAACAAAAUUUCAAUCCAAAAUCAUGAAGCCAAAUUCAAAAAUUACUCUUGCCCACAUCCGUGAGACCUAAUUGUUUAGCUUCCACAUUAUGCCCGAACUCAGAAAGGGGUUUCACUACUUCAAACUUGAUCUCUUAAUCCUAAUAAACACCCCAAACAAAUGAAUCAAAUAGAGAAUAGAAGUCCAAAUUUGUUACUGAUCAACCAAAACUGCAGCUUGAAAUCUAAAUAGACAAAUCCCAUACCUGCUCCUUCGCGCGCCCGCUGCUCCCGCCUCUUCCUCCUCAUCCUCCCCGCUGUUCUCUCCCUCCGCCGCCCCCGACCCCUCCCCAGCCCUACCGCCGGCGACGCCGCCGCCCUCCUCCAACCUGCGCCGCUCCGUCGCGGUCCUCCUCCGGCGAUACUCGGCCAAGACGAGCGCGACGUGGAUCGCGCACUGGAGCGCGUACCCGGCGAUCCAGAUGCGGAGCGGGGUGGUGGGGCGCUCGCGCACGGUGACGGCGAGCACGGCGGCGGCGGCGACGGCGAAGGCCAUGUUCCAGGCGACGUCGAGCGUGACGACGACGCGGGAGUAGGCCCACUCGGCGCGGCGUUCCUCCAGCUGGAGCGCCGCCGCCUCGCGCACCAGCAUCGAGGGGCCGCGCCGCCCCGCCGCCCCGCCCACGAUCGCCGCCAGCCGGCUCGGCCGCGCCGCCUGCUCCGGCGAGCCUCGGCUCGGCCGCAGCAGCGGCUCCGCCGACGCCGAUGCGGUCGACGCUUCCUCUUCCAUCCCACCUCGGUCUCUCUCUCUCUCUCUAUCUCGUCUCUUCCUCUUAUUUCUCUUUUUUUUUUUCUCUUUUUUUAAAAAACUUUAAUUCUUUUCCUAUUUUUCUUAAAAAGACAAACUAAAAUCCAUUAAAGUAGUGAACAAACUAAUAAUGAAAGGUUUUAUUUCCUUACAUAAAAAAUAAAAAAAAAAAUUAUUCAGCAUAAAAAUACUGUUGGGGGGUUGUUGUGGGGUGAAUGAAACGUAGUUACCUAAACAAAAAAAAUACAACACCACAGUAAUCUUGUAUUAGAUAAUUUACAAGUCAUACAUGCUGUGUUUAAUUAUGCUGAGCUGAAGAUUUUAACCAAAUAGAUACUAAUAAUAAUGAGCUAAGUUAGAUCAAAAAAAGGAAAUUUUUCAAAGUUAUUUAUGUGACCAGCAUAUUAGUACAGUUACUAAGGUGUUACUAGUGUAUUAGUAAUAGACUAAUUAAAUGUUAUACCAAUCGGUACAGAAGAAAUUUGUAUUCCCUCGUGUUUUCUCUAGUACACUCGCUCUGAAUGGUGGCAUGAUGGGAGACAUUCUUGCUGUGUAUUAAUUCUUUUUUUUUUCUUUUUUUCUUUUUUUCUUUCUGAGGAAUUGCCAUAAUUGAUUUUGUAUCAAAGCUGUGUGCGACUUCAGGUCCCUAAGCAUAGGGGUGAGGAGUGUCCAGUGGUCCACACAAGAUGACUCUUUAUUUGCACAGAAUUUUUCAGACUCUGCACAGAAUUUUUCUGCAGUAUGAUAGAAUUUAUGGCUGUCCCCGAGUGGUCCAAACAAGUAGUAGAUGGUGGAAUCCAAAUUUUCCAUUGAUUAUCUCCCCUUGUUGGGUUUUUUACAUAUAUAUAUAUAUAUAUAUAUAUAUAUAUAUAUAUAUAUAUAUAUAUAUAUAUAUAUAUAUAUAUAUAUAUAUAUAUAUAUUUUAAGGUGAGAAAUAGGUUGGACAUCAAACUGAGUUCUUUAUAAUUUUAACUUUAAUUCCAAUUACCAUUACAGUAGGUCGAUAUCUUAACUUAUUUCGUUCCAAAAUAAAUGCCCAGUAUAUCAAACAGAAUGCUGGCCUUUUUUCCUUUUCACUAUUUGGAUUUAGUUUUCCUCGGAGACCAUUUAAAAAGUAAGUCGUUUAAUAGGCUAGACUAGCCACAAACAUACAAGUUUGGUGAAUUCAAUACGAGAAGAUGAUUUUGUAUGGGCCAGUUUAUUGUGUGGGCCAUUCAUCCACAUGUGUUGAUGCUUGUGGGAAUGGAGCAGGCCCAAACAGUCAAAAAGUGCGCCGCCGCAGCUAAGCUCGGCUCACAGCUUCAUUUGGGUUUGCGGUAAGAAAUUAUAAUACAAAAAAAAUAAUCUUUAUCAUAAAUUGCAUUGAUUCGGUUAAUAUAUCAUCAAUAUGCAUGGUUUCAUCAUUUCCGUAUGAACUCAUUUUAGUUCAACAGCGUUAGCCAGCCCUUAAUACGAAAUAGUCUAUCGUAAUUCGAAACUUCGUACCCGAUAUUUCAAAACUGUAACAUACAAAAUAAAAAAAUAAAUUGAGCUAAGAAAGCUCAGUGUGAGGGGUGGGUGAAGUAGGUACAGUGAAGUGAACUGCACGGGCAGUCCCAAAUUAACAGGUCAUUUUAUGAUUAAAAAACAGUUUUUUUUUUUUUUAAAAAAAAAAGUUAUGACGUACUAAAGUGUGAUUAAUAUGAAAAUUGCAAUAGCAUAUGUUGCAUUCAUUAAUAUAAAAUGAAGAAGGCUCUAAUCCAGUAAUAAUACAAGUUGUGUGAUAAUUAAAUUCACAAAAAGGUCCGCCACCUUUUAUGCAAUUGCAAUUGCAACUUGAUCCAGUAAUUUUACUACGUGUAAUAAUCAUCACGGCCAGAGGACAAAUUGACGACGCUCGAUCUGCACCAAAGACGAGCAUACAAAAUAGAUGAUUCUCUUUGGUAUAGAUAUAUUAUAUAUAUAUAUAUCCCAAAGAGAAGAAGACUCGUCACCACUCGUCACCACUCGCCACACAAGAAGAAGAAGAAGCAUCCAAAAUCUGGUUCACAAGUGUACAAACUUUGUCUCUACUCUCUACGCCAAAAAGCUGGGCGUGACACGUCCCUCGUUCUUAAGCAUACAAAAUAUAAAACUCAGAAAAUAUAUAUAUAUAUAUAUAUGUUACAUUAAUAUUCCUUUUUUUUAUAUGUAUGUGAAUAUUUUUGUAUUCAUUCAUGCAUUUUGAUAUUUUGUUCGUCUCGAUCCAUACGUGGGGCCUGGUUAGAUGAUGAUAUACGUACAUUAAAGAUCAGAAGCUCAAAUUAAUUUACUCUACCGGAUUGGAUUGGAUUAGAUAUUUAGAUUAGAGAUUAUUUUACACGAUCUUCGAGCGCCGCCGCUGCCCCACCAACGCCGUCGCCUCCACCGCCUCCGCCAUCGCCCCGCAUAUCGUCGCCGCGUGGCGCCCCAGACACCGCCCUCCUCCGCCGCCGCCGCCGCCGCCGGCUCUCCUCGUCGCCCUCCGGCCGUCCGCCGCCUCCUUCGGCGCCGCCCCUCCGCCGCCGGCGCUCGCCGCGAUGAGGCGCUCGAGCUCCCUGGUGAUGCACUCGAUCUCGUAGAGAUCGAAGAGCGAGAUCGAGCCGCGCGGCGGAGGCGGGGAUUUCUUCCCGCCGGAGGGCGGAGGAGGGCUCGUGGGGGCGCGGCGCGCGCCCGUCGUGGAUGGAGCCCCGCUGGUGCCAGGCCCACGCCGCGGCCUUCGCCAGCGCCAUCUCGUCCCACUCCGCCUCCGACGCCGACGCCGACGCCGACGCCGACGACCUCCCCCUUCGCUUCUUCCGAUCCAUUAGUAGAGAGGGAGAGAGAGGGAGAGAGAUAGCAAUAGAUGAAUAAUCAGUGAGAGAGAAGAAAAGGGUUUUUUUUGUUUAUUUUUGGGGUGGGUUUGAUAGGAUAAAUUGGAGGGGCCGAAACGAAGUCUCCUCGUCUUGAUUGCUCUCAUCAAUAGGGAACAGAAGGUUCGCGCGUGGUGUUUUAUUCAGUACGACCGCCACUUUGGUACGUUACGUGGAAAACGCACAUGGUUCUGGGGUAAAUUCCAUCAUCUUAUAUUUAUUAUUAUUACUUUAAAUUAAGUUGUAAACCCCACGCGGUUCUCACCCAUUAAAAAAAAAAUAAUAAUCUUUUUAUUCUAGGAAGGCAGAGCAAUUUUUCUCUUUCAUUGUUAAUAUUCUAAUUUCUGCACAUAAUAUUUUUAAUUUGUUUCAAUUAAAUUCGCCCUUAGCUUUUUAUCCACAAGAACUUAAUUUAGCCGGAAUAAAUAUUACAAAUCUAAAUUACGCAUUAAUUGAUAUCCAACUAAUUUUGUACAUCAAUAAUUUCGCAAUCAUAUUAAUUAAUGAUAGCUGCCCCAUGGAUUCAGUAACGAAUCGCACCAAAACCCAAGCUAGGUUAUGUUUUAAUGCUGUGGAAAAAGAAAGGCCCAUGCCAUAUCCGUUUUCAUAGGAAUUAAUAAUAAUUAAGUGGGCCACCAUGAGCUUCGUGGCUUGUCCUCCAACGCAACUUCGCAUGGUGCCUGAAUCAACACUUCACGCAAUGUGGCGCUUGAUCGGAUUAGCGUGAGGCAAAUUGAUAUGCAUCUGAUAAACAGGACGACAAUUAGACCAAACAAAUCUAUUAACUAUUAGAAAGUUUUUUAAGAAAUUAUUAAAUAUUUAAUAUUAAAAACAAAAGUUGACAGCUCCAGAAAUUUACCCAGAAAUGCUCAAACGUCAGAUUAAAUGUUAAAAACUUGGCGAAACAAUCUUUCAUUUCUGGAAUUAAGUUUAGUUAAAAAGAAAAUAACAUCCUGUUAAAUAUAAAAAUAUUUAAACACAAUUCUCCAUAAACUUAGCUUGUAGAGUACAACACCUGUUUCAUAUCAUUUCAUACAUCCUUCUUCGCAAUUCUGCUAAGUUUAGUAUACACCAGUUAAUAAGAAAAAAAUUUAGUUUGUUGCAGCUUAGUUCACAAAAUUCAGAUUCCAUUGCAGUACCGUCAUUUCAUAAUGUCAAUUCUUGAUCAAUGCAACAAUACAUACGACCAGAAAAUGCAGCAAUCAUGGAAGCUGUAACGGCCAUGCUAAAACCAUGUUACAAGAAAGUCGUACAAGCAAGGGCGAAAUAAUAUGCUUGCACGAGGAAGCCGGAGUGUUUUCAGCAAAUGCUGAAGGCUUGUUUUACAAUGUAGCAUGAUUGCAUAGACAUUAAAACAUACAUUAAAAAAUUACUGAUAAUUCUAGUCAACUCGAAAAGGAUAAUAUUCUCUUUCGUAUGCUUCAACGAAGGCCCCUGGAGUAAGAGACAACCACAGGAAUAGCUGCAAUAAAAUGGAUUACAUGACAAUGUUAGAAUGUGGAGGAAUAUUAAAGAUCAAAUUUCAGCUCAUAACAACCAAUACAACCAAGAAACCUGUGUACCCUCCAACUCAUUAACAGAUGGAGGGUAUAUUAGUGUACUUUGCUGAGGGUGCAGGUGGAAUAUCCUCGUAUAUAAAAUAUUGUCCGGCUUCUAAUAUUCUAUUGUUCCUAUGUUUCAACCAUAAAAAGCACCAUGUAGGAAAAUUAAUAAAAAUAUAUAAUUUGGAAACUACUUUUUGCAGUUAGCAAUAAAAGUAGAUCGGAUUUUAGUCAAUCUAGCCUGAAAGAAUUUAUUUACACAAUAUGUGUAGUUGGGUUAAGAAACAAACUAAUGCUAUGAUCUUCAAAUAAACCCGAGAUAACUAAAGCCUGUUCAACAUUUAUUGAUCCACCAUAGAACAAGUCCGGCUUUAGUAACCGAAGAUCUGUUAAUGUAUCUGUAAAUUGGUACUAACUAUUUUAGUGCAUAUUUCAUGGCUUUUUGAAACCAAAAUUAAAUAUUACCUCUGCAUGUGCAAUCCUUGCAUGCCCUGAGGAGUAGAUCAACUAGUUUUGAACAUGGCACACACCAAAUCUUCGAACAAGUGUAUUCUUAACCUUGCACAUAGUUGGAUAAGCCCAUUCCAAGAAUAAAUAACACAUCAUGACACUUCAGCACUGAACAAACAUCAAAGUUUUCCUCCUCUAUCUCAAAGUAAACGAGCUGCAACCGAGCAAAGUUACCAUCACAUUUAUAUCCCCCAAUAAAUUGAUACACACUGUAACUUAUCUUUGACCAAGUUAUUAGCAGUGCAAACUGGGAACCAUACCUCCAUGUCCUUCCCCAACAAAUAGUAGGUAAUAUUUUCAAACAAUGAUAUUUUUUGCUACAAACAACUAUUGCAGAUGCUCAUUAGGUGCCUCCUCCUGUGCCAAAUUUGAAUCUUGGAUUGUUGAAUCUAAAUUAUUUACUAUCUCUAGACACUUGCUGGCCAGAUUUUCAUCAUGCAUUGACCAACUACAGCAGAAAUAAAUUACCGACGAACUGCAAUACUUAUUUUGGUUUGUCCGAAAUGGGCAAUCUUCAUUUGAACAAAUACGGAUUCGAAGAGAAUCUAACUGGAGAUGAUCAGAAAAAGAUUCAAUAUACUUGCAUUUGACAUGACUACUCAAUUUCUUACACAACAAUUGAAGCGUAGUAUGGUUAGCAGCGUGAGGCAGAAACUGUUCCCGGUUACUCAGCCGUACAGGAAAGCAGCGCGCAAAUUGAACCACAUGCUUUUCUGCACCCAGCAUCUGCAAGAGCUCAUCCUUGCUGACAACCUUUGCAGUCUUACUUUUUUCCAUCACUAAAAUGCCUUCGGUAAGAUUUUCAUCUCCUGCCAAUUCUGAGACUUCACAGUUACUGAUACUAGCAUUGGAUAUGCAAUGCUUGUCUUGGGUACUAUGUAAGUUGGCAUUACAGCAACUUGUGAUGACCAUCUUACUGGCAUCUAUUUUCGUUCCUGAGACUUCACAAUUAUUCGUACUAAAAUUCGAUAUGCAAGGUUUGUCCUGGAUGCUAUUCAAGUUGACAUUGUGGCAACUCCUCAUGAACUGCCCAGUGGCAUCAACUUUCACAUUUUGACUAGUAGGAAUAAGCACGGUCUCAUUGUUUGCUGGAUAAUAGCAGGGAAUUCCCAGCUCAGAUUGAAUUCUUUCUGUUAAAGAGGCCAUUUUAGGCUUCUCUCCGUGCACGAGGAUAACAUGUUGAGGGAAAAGAAAGUCGAUUAGAUCCAUUAUCCCUUUGGCAUCUGUGUGAGGACUGAAAGAUAGCUGAUGAAUCUGGUGCUAGCAGAAAGUUCAAAUGAGAACAUGAAAGAUAUGUAUUCUUGCAUCAGAGGUUCAAACAAAAAUAAGAAUACUAACAAUAGAUGGCCCAUCUCUAAGAAAUAGCUAAAAACAUGCAAAAAACGGCUCAAAACUAAUUCUACUUUCUUUCCAAAAGGCAAUGAACAAAUAAGAUAGUUCUUCCACAACGCUCAAUAGAGUACCUUGCUCGUCAUAUGCAAACUGUGCAAAAAAUAAAAUAAAUAAAUUUAAAUAAAAUAAUAUUAAAAAAAUUCUAGGAAGGAUAAAUGCCAGAAAAGAAUGUAAUAUGAUGUGCAUUGUAAGUUUAAAUGUUAAAUUUUGCUAGAAUGUUGUUCGUGCAGCUAUAAGAUCGGAUAAUUUAUAUUAUUUAGAGGAAACUUUAGGGAAUCUUUUGACAUUGGGUGCAUGCCAUUGUGUAUUAUGGCCUUAGUUAGAAUAGGCUGCAUAUAUAAUAAUUAGCAUUAUAAGUUCAAGCAAGUCAGAAGAAGCAACUUAUUUUAUGUAAUAAUUCUAUUUUCCCUUUUUAUUAUUACUUCUAAACCAAAUCAACUUUCAUCACAUUAGAGUAUGAGGUUGGGGAAAGACCUGACAUCUAACAUCAAUAUGGGUGUCCGCAUCCAAAUCAAUUCUGGUAGGUUUACCUGACAUCAAUUUAUGCCCUAUGGUUCCAGCAACGCAGUAUCUGCAUAGAGACGAGAGAGAAAUAAACUAUAAACAAUUAUAGCCAUAUGACAAUCCUUUCCAGCAAAAGAAAAGAAAAAUGUUAUAUGACAAAAAUCUGAAACAUAAUUUGAGAAGGUUACCCAGGAAGUGUAAUUAGGUUCUUUUCAGAUGGAGCCCAGUGUUUGAAGACUUCAAGAGAAAAUCCGCCACUGAUCAUACCAGGAGUAGCGAAAAGAACACAUGGUCCAGGUGCAUUUAUAAGUGAGCGCUCAAAAGAGCACACUGUAAUGUCAAAAAAAUUAAGGUGAUGUUAAGUUUGAGAAAAGUAGCAUAGUUCCACAACAAGCAAUGUUCAUUACAAAGUAAUUCAGUUAUCAACAAAGUACCAUGCUUGAAAUCAAAUGGGUUGUGUUUUGUGUAAUUGUCUUUGAUCUUUUGACUGGUCCAUCCAAUAAGCAUCUUGUAGUACAUAUUAGCUUGAAUGGUCAAUCCUGAAAAAUGGCACACGUAAUUAGUAUCACAAAUAUGGAGGAUGUAACUAAAUGGUACAAAUUGCUAACAAGACAUAUAUUAAACAUACAGUAUCAUAUCACUUUUGAGUUACUAAAAAUUUGUAUAAUAUGAAUGGCCUACAAACUUCAAGAAUCUGACAAUGUUCCCUUCAACUACUUUGUGUUAAAUACAAUUUAUCUCUGGAAGAAACCAGCUUCUUCUGAAACUUAUAACAUAUAAUCUGGUGUGUAGCAGCAAAACAACACAUACAACCCUAUUGCACCAGCAAUGGAUUAAUGGCGCUUGGCUCUGGUGCUUUUUCCGUUGUGUAAAAGUUAGCAGAUUUUAAACUUUAAAAAUUUCCUUGGGAUGAAUCCUAAAGGGACACAAUGAAUUUCCAUCAAAAUAAGCUUAAGAAACAAUAAUGGAGAGCAUCUGUACCACAAUGCCAUCCACAUGAAUCACCUGUUUCACUAGCAAGCAAGUUUGUUCCAACAUAACAUAUUUUCGCUAUUCUCACCAUCUUGCAAAUUCCCAGUAUAGAGUUUGCAUAAAGCCAAAAGGUGUAUGUAAUCGACAUCAAUUCUAGCUCCUCGCUUUAGUAUAAGUUAAUUUAUUUUGCAGGUAAGUCCUCCAACUUACACCAACAACAGAGACUGAUGAACCAGUUAACUUAAGCAAACCAAAGGAUCUCCAUCCAAUCCAAAUAGGCAAUGUUUCCACAUGACCCAAAGGGACUCUCAUUCUUGGACUUCAGAUUUCUUCUCUUCAAGUUCAAUCAGCUUGAAUUUAUUAAUUCCCUUGUGAACUACUUACUACUAUACAUUCACCAUGUACAAGGAUCUUAGUUCAUACAAAGAUUUCCCCUAAAUGAUAUGAACUGCUAUUACUUCUGACAUGUCAAAAGAAUAACAAAUAAGCCUAAAAGUAGCUCAGAGAAGUCAUAACAUGAGGCACAAUAGAAGAAAAUAGCAUUUCUUCAUCAAUCUACACGGUAAUUUCUGAGCCAAGGCUGUGGCAUGCACCACAUAUAGUCCAGCAUCCCAUAGGAAGCUGCAGGCAAGUAUUCAGCAGCUUGCUUAUCUCUUGGCUAACAUGAUUAUCACAUGCUAAUAGAAUGACUUGUCUAAAUGCGAUUGCUUUAGGCUCCAAAAGCUUAUAGUUUAGGGUGGGAAAAGGCCCAAAAAUUAUUCUGUCUAGAAAGAUUUAUUGCAUAAAAUCAGACCUGCUUAAAAGAUUUAUCCUGGAUAGAAGUCAUAUUCCCAUGCUUAUUUCCUCCAAACGACCUUUUUAAUGGUAGGGAAAAGAAUGACCAACAAACAACAAAUCAGCUUUAAAUGCAGGAAGCAUGCAAAAACAAGCGGGCCUGGAAAAUUAUGUAUUUCUUUCAAGGGAUGACCUGGCACAUCUUCACGUUAAGUUGAUUAAAUGAUUGUAACAAAUUCAGAUGUUAGUUUAAGCGUUUAUAAUGUGGUCACAUGUUAGCUGAAGUAUAUAUCACGUGGUCACAAUGUUUGAAAGAAAACAUAAAAGUUUCCUAACAUAUCCAGCUUUAGGAGAUCAGAAACAUGAUUGUCAUUCACCAAGAAACAAGUCAAAAAGGUAGCGUGAAAAAUCAUACCGGCAGAAAAGUAGAUAGGAACAUUCAAGUUCAUUCUUUCCCAAUAGUCAUCCAACAAUAUGCAAAGCUCCUAAUGCACAUGCAAAAAAAUUAUUAUAGAAAUCUAAAAAAAAUCUUAAGAAAACAAUGAAAAGACAUAGUGAAAAUUACCUGGGCUCUCCCCAAGGCAAAUGUUGGGAUAAGAACUUUACCUCCUCCGGCAACACACUUAUGAACCUAAAAACAGGCUUCCAAUUUCAAAUCAGCAAAACAAAAGUGAAACUGCAUAACUAGAAUUCCAAGAACAGUGUUAUAUGAAUAUUAGCACAAUUGAUGCACAUCCUACUGAACUAUAUGCACAAUGGUUCGCUCAAAGAUUUUACAGAAACACAGGCCAUAUUAAUUUAUGUAAGAUUCUGCUUAGGUCGACUGAUGUAUCAUCUUUCACAAUUGCUGAAUUAUGAGCCAUUCUUUUUGGGCCUUUAGAUUUCUGUGAUAUCUGUAUUGCUAAUAAUAUAUAUAAGAAAAAUUGAUAAUAAAGAACAGCUACAGGAAAAUGAAGAAUUAUGGCUCAUACAAGAGAUCAAACCAACUAGGCAGCUAUUUCAGCAACAACUGAUUAGUCAGGAUCUCUGUGACUGCUUAGAGCGGAAUGCUCCUCUGUAAAUGGGACAAAUUGAAGCUGACUAAUGGUAGCACUUCUAUCAAAUAACAAAUUUGCAUGCCCACACAAUAUUGUUAUAGCAAGGACGAGAAAAAGAAUAAUCAGAUAAAGAGCAAAAAUGUGUAUGAUGAAAAGGUCAGCAUACAGCUUUCAGGAACUCCCUCUCUCUAGCAUAUUUUGAAUCCCUAAUAGUUGUCGCAUAUGUAGACCUAGAAGAAAGAAAAAAAUAAAGAAAAUUAACCUUAGCAAGUCAUGCAGAAGGAGAAAAGCUGUGAGAAUACAUAGGCGAGAAUAGUAUAAUCAAGAAGGCAUUAUCAUAAUUAAGUGUGCAAAAAAUAAAUCAAAGGUAUAGCAAAAUCAAGAUCAUCGAAUUAUGGGAAGGAUUAGUGCAAGCCUCAAUUACUAUAAUCAAUAAGUCUAAGACUCUUACAAU